UUUUUUGUUGUGGGGCUUUGAGGGGUGCCGGGGCAUCUUAUAUAGGCGAUCAAGGAGGAGGACAUCAACGAAGCUAUUCAAUAGCAUUUAAUGUGCUCAUCAUCAAAAUCAAUGCCUACAUGGGGGUGGUUGCAUCUCUUGGUUGGAAGUUUGGUAAGGUACCAGCUUAACUUUAGUCAAACAAAUAUUUUUUAUUAUUAGCCUUCAGUAGACAUUGUAGGCCACCAUUAUUAUUUUUAGUUGAAGUUAGACAAGUUUAGCUGCACAACUUUUGGGAUCCCAAUACAUUUUGUUGUACAUAGCUACUCCAUUUGAAUUAGUAGACAGAAAAAUCUUGACUGUAAAGAAACCAAUGGCUAAUAAGAUCUUUUUACGAAUGAAAACUCUUCUUUUAUAUAGAGCAACACAAAACAUUAAGUUUGCUAGGGGUUGGAUGCCAGCUUACAGGUAAUCACCAACUACUACCCAAUAACUCCCACUACGCAAGCCAGAAAGAUCCUACUAAAUCCAACCACACUUGCAAGACAAAACUGCCAGUGAGAGAAAACAAGCAGCUCCCAACUAAAAACAUAAAGAGCUGAGCUAACAACAGUAAGCUAGCAAAGAUAACUGAUGGAGUCUACAACUCUAAGCCAAGAUAAACCUAUGCUUCUAGUCAAAUGAGUCCUUAAACUUCUAAAUUCCCUUGAUUCCCAAAGGGAUGAAUUUCUAGGCUGGGUUAUUAAAAAACAAAAAUGGGUAAGGGGCUUAUCUACUGAUGGUUCAAAAACUUUUAAAUUCUCAGUUUGGCGCUAGAAGUCCUAUAGCCAUGUUUUCAUUCUCAUGAGCAUGUCUUCUAUGAACUUGGCAUCGUCCCCUUCAAAAGUACACACCAUUUCUAUAAUAGAGCAAAAAAACUUGUCUAAUGCUUCAUUCAAUGACACCAAAAAGACAUUCUAUAUGCACAUUUUAUUUUGGCUACUCUGUAAUAGAAAGAUGAUACUUAUGAGAAUGCAAAGCAAUCAAUUAAAGACUUCCUAAAUAUGUGUUAGGCAUUUAUCAGAACCCAAAGCCUCUCUGAAGCACAUUCAAAUAGUUUGAACAUUAUGUGUUCAUUAGUUUCUGGUACCCCACAUAGACAACAAUUUCUAUCACCUGUCCACUUCUUUUCUUCAGAUAGUUUGCAUCUUAUAUUGAAAGAGCAUCCAUAUGAAAACUCAUAUUCUCAUUGGACCUUUGUUUCUCUAGAGUUUGAUCAUCCUAUUGUUCAUAACACCUCUAAACAUUUUAUUUCUAUACAUAGAUUUGGUUCAGUAUGGCCUAGACUUCUCAUAGAUCCCUUCUAGACUUGUGACCCAUUGCAAAGCUCAAACUAUGAGAAAUGUUUCCUUAUAAGAUACUUCCUCUUGAAAAGGUCAUAUAGGUCAUAACAAGAUUCAUUAUGCCUAGCUUGUGACAACCUCCACACCCUUGCAGUCUCAUGCACUACUAGACAUGUCUGGUCCAGUGACUACAGGAAACCCACAAAAUAUUCCAUAUCAAACACCUUUGAGUUUAGUUUAGAUAUCAAUCAUCUUUGGGCUUCAUCUGAUCUACCAACACUAGUUUUCACAACUGUGUACCAUAUCUACUCACUAUACUCAACUAGGUUAAGCUAGUCUUUCAUACCCCUGUAUAGUAUAGCCAAAGGAAAAACAAAGAUCCUAUCACUACUUUAAGUGUCCCUCAGCACCAUUGACACUUAGAACUAUAGUUGAUCCUUUAUCUUUGCGCUCAUCCUUUGAAAACCAAAAUGAAUAGCAUUAAUAAGGGGCAUGAAAACCAUGAUUGGCCAUCAACCAAUCAUCAUUGUGACAUCACUAAAGUAAUAUCUCUGCAAAACACAUGCUAAUCACAAAGAUUGUGUCAUCAUUAAUCACCAAAUUUGAAUUAGGGGCCUAGAUGCUUUCAGUGUUCUCCAUUUGAGAGCCAUCGAUCCGGAGUGGAGAAGGGGUACUCAAUAAAGUGGGUACCUAAGUCUUGAUCACUCAAGGGAAGAAAACUGGGUCUUAGUGACUCUUCAGUGCUCCAACAUGGAUGAGAGGGUAAUAAACAACACGGUGUUCUCUCUCUUUGCAUUUCUUUCAUUCUUAAAUUACUCUCUUUUCCUAACUUAGCACUAUACUUUGCUCCUAUUUGUGUGCAUGAAUUUAUGUGUCAACCAGGUUUUCUUCUCCUUGCUAGAGUGUACUUGACUAUAGGUAUCUUAGUGUAAACUUUCAUAAGGACAUUAGCUUAUGUGUGGUUGAAACUAGCAAUUAUGUGCAUUAACAAAUGCUCUGGUUGAGCAGUCAGACAAUCAUACAGAUGCUUUGUUACUCAGUCAAAGUCAUGCUUUCGUAAGGACACCAACACCUUUAGUUUUGUAAGGUGUCCACCUAUCUCACACCUUGGGCCCAUUUGCCAGGGCAUGUGGCACACUGACACCACCAGCACACAACUCCAGUAUACAUGACAAGCACUUGUUCUCUCUCACUCCCUGUCUUACAUACCCAUACCAACACACCUCUAUCUCUUUCUCGGGAAGAGAGGAGAAAGAGGGGUGGAGGCCAAGGAGGAGAUCCCAAGACGUGCAACAACCUCUCCUUGAUAGGUUGGAGCUAGGAGAGAUCCGACAUCGAGAGUUGGUUGAAGAAAAGGAUAAUGGGGAAAUAGAGAGAGGGGAGAUAAAUAAAUGCACGAAGAAAAAAAAGAAGAGAGACAAAGAUAUUAUAGUUAUUUCAUUCUUGCUAUCCAUUAUUAGGAGAAGCCGUUUAGACAAACAUUUAACUAAAAAUAGAUUUAGCUUCACCAGUAGAACUACUCGUUAAGCCAAAGGAAAAAAACUGCUCCUUCAGUCAAACAGAGUGGUGCAAAUGGAGGCGGAAGCCAAUUUUUGUAAACUUGAUCGCCUAUUCGCCUCUGUUCAUUUUUCUAAUGCGGUAGAGAACAACAGAAGCCCACUGCCCAAUGCGAAAGCACUUCCAAAUGAGCCUUGGUGCGUUCUAUACGGGAGAGGAGAUUAUUGAUCUGCCUACGGUGAGCCAGCUAGCGUGGCAAAAGGUGUGAUGCCAUUUUGGACUGUGGCACUGUGCGCAUAGAUUAAACUAAGCCCGGCUGCGCCGCAGGUUCCUAUUGAGCAUGCAUUUUGCUACUCAUCGAGUCCUGUUUAUCAUAGCUUAACUUACCCAAAUGAGGUUGAUUUUUAAGAUUUUAGAGCAGCUUUUUGGGUAGAUCAAAAACAAUAAAAUGCAUAAAUUGUUUUUAUUUUCUUCCCUAUCUCCUCACGGGCAGCUCUUUCUUCCUCCGCUCUUCAUCCCAACUUUAGGUCUUGUUUAGUUCGCAAAUUUUUUUUGGAUUUGGCUGUUGUAGUACUUUCGUUUGUAUUUGAUAAUUACUGUCCAACCAUAGACUAACUAGGCUCAAAAGAUUUGUCUUACAAAUUACAGACCAACUAUACAAUUAAUUAUUUUUUUAUCUAUAUUUAAUGCUUCAUGCAUGUGUCCAAAGAUUCGAUGUAAUAGAAAAUCUUGAAUUUUUUUUAAAACUAAACAAAGCCUCAAUCUUUUGUGAGAAGUGAAAAAAAAACAGUUUGAAAAGAAAAGGUAUUUAGCAAAAUAAUAAUAAUUUACAUCAGUCCUGAGACGGUGUUUUUAACUAAACUGCCUCUGAAAAUGGACGUGAAUCAAAAAAAGUUUUUUUAAUAGAACUGCCUCUGCAUAUGAAUCUUCAAAGGCGAUCACGAAGUUAUAGUGCCUCCUAACGCUAUACAAGUGGUGUGCUAUGUAAAUCUCCUCCGAUAUAAAUUGAAGGGUGGCGUCCCUAAAGCAAUUAUAUGUACUAGUGGAAGCUAUGCCAAACGGGCCUAUAUUGUGGACCUAUGGGGGCUUUCUUCUUCACAGAGCAUGCAUGCAAGACAGCAAUAGAUAGCAACCAUCUAGCAUCCUCAUCAACUUCCUCUUCAUUCCUCCUUGCACGAGCUCGAGCUCGCUUCUCCUGUGCUCUGCUUUGCUCUGCUCACCAUGUCGAGUCGCCGAGGUCGACAACCCAUCACGCAUUAUGCACAUGGCAGCGCUUUCUUGAUCAUAGUGGCCGCCAUCAUCGCCCCAGCCUGCUCUGCCACUGCCACCGCUAUCACUCUGGCGGCGAGGUUCUGGGAAGAGGCCCUCUGAGGCACGUCCAUGAACCGACCAUCGUGGAACUCGCCUAGAAAGGUACUUCCUCCAUUCUAAAUUAUAAGUCAUUUUAAGAACCUUUGAGCUAUCAAAGCAUCUCAAGUUUAACCAAAUUUAUAGAAUAAGAUAAUAACAUUUAUCACACCAAAGUAUUAAAUUCUUUAUUAAUUAUUUUUUUCAUAAUAUAUCUAUUUGGUGCCAUAAAUCUUUGUAUUUUUUCUAUAAUAUUAGUCAAAUUUAAGACAUUUUAACUAUAUAAGAUUUUUAAAAUAACUUAUAAUUUAAGAUUGAGUGAGUAGGUACCUGCAUGUACUGCAGCAGUGCUCCCACGGUAGCUAGACUCUCCCUCCCUCCCCCUCGACUCAUAUAUAUUUCUCUCCUCGACGUGUGUUAGGUGACCCUCUGACGUCCUGAUCGUGUAAGCGAUACGUGCAAGCCGGCCAUCCUCCCGCGCGCUGAGGCCUUGAAGGCCGCAAGAAUCAAAUUCGCGCACGACUAUAAGCGCGUGCCAGGCGCCGCCGCUCGCCGGCGAGCGCAAGGCCUGCGCCACUUCCUUGAAGGACGCCGUGCGCGCACGCCGCCGCUCACUCUCCGAGAUCUCCAGCAGCAUGGGAGCAGUGUUGGUCCUAAGAUUUUGAGGGCGCUCUAGUGAAUUCGACAUAAUAACUCUGUAGACUACAAAAUUUUAUACUUUGUUUGUCUCACUGCUGAAAAGUUGAUAGAUUCAAUAUAUAAGUUCAAGCGGACAGACUCAUAGACUAAUUUUCUAAGAAAAACAUAACUAUAUGAGUACAAAGUACUAGACGAAAUUAAACAAGAAAAAAACCUAGAACCUAUUUAAUUUAGACAUAAAAUUAAUUUAGAACCAAGAUUCACAAAUCACAAAAGGGCAAAAGGCUUUGCCUCAGCUAAUCACCGCCGUCGUCUAGAACGUCGUCGUUUGGAUUCUGCAACUCGGACGUCAGAACGUUGGUGAUCGGCGCUAGUGAUGCGGAUCGUGUGGUGAUCUGAUCGAUGUUGUAUGUCUACGUCUCGUUGUCUCACCAAGUGCCGAAGUGCGAAACGAAGAAGUUGCGAUCGCUAUGUGUGUGUGGGGGGGCACGAACAUUGACGGCUCGGCUCCUCGCCUUCUAGAAAGAAGAGACCAAAAACUCCUUUUGCUAAUGAACCGUUGUAUCUUCUUGUUAAUCCUAAAUUCUAAUGGACUAUAAUUAAAAAGUAUAGGAUCUUAUAUACUUCGACGGGCCGGCACUGCAUGCAUGGGAGCAGCGGCUCGGCGGUGGUGGACAUGGUGGCCGUCUGCUAGCUCGACACCUCCAGCAACUGGAGCCCGUGGCUCACCCGGCGUUCGAGACGCUGAUCAAACAACCUCCGGCCUGGCGGCGCCCUAGUGUGCCACUUCAUGCCGUACGCCGGCUGAUCUGUUGUUCAGUGAGAAGGCGGACAACGCCUAAAGGCAUGUACAACGGGAGUGCUGGCCGUCGUCUCCGGAUGGCCAUUUUGCAAGACCCACCCCGUCCACUACAGUAAAUGAGGAAAGAGAGCGAAGUCAUCGCGUCGCGAGACGACCUCCCCCACAAAGUCGACGGCUGGUUUCGCACCAUCGACAUGCCAUCUACUGUUUACAAAUUUUCUAAUCCAAGUACUCUAUGUUUUAACAAUUAUUAAUGGACGCCGAAAUAAGUAAGAAAUGGUGGUGGUGUAUCGCUCAUAUGUAAGUUAUUAGAGGUUUGUGUGGCUCCCCUAUAUAUCUAGCACAACUAAAAAUGUUAAUGUGUCGUUCUUGUGUAGCCUUGAUUGAAUAAUGUGUAACGUGUUGAACAUGCAUGUUUAGAUAAAACCGAUCCUUAACUUCAGUCCCUACGUACUCACUCCUAACCCCAAACCAACCUGCAACAGUCUUCUCUAUUAGUUAAGAGAAGCUCCACUAUUGUUCAAAUCAAACUGUGGGCAGGUCCAAAAGGAACUAUAAACACUAGAGCAUCCGUUCCAUCAAAAGAGCAUCCGAUUAUCCGAACCGUCGGUGUCAGUUCAGCAAUCAAACUCCAUAGGUGAGUCGAACCGAGGGACGUAAAAUAAUGAUCGAAUACCGUACAUGGCAUGAGGAGAGAGAGAGAGAGAGAGAGAGAGAGAGAGAGAGAGAGAGGAAAGGAUGAAUGCGAACUCUUCAACCUCGCUACGAGACCGAGAGAGAGAGAGAGAGAUCUCUAUGACAUGUAGACCUCACGGAUCGAUGUAUACGUUGUAGCUGUCAAACUCUUGCUUUCUCUGAUUUCACGGUUCGAUUUUUAGCACUACAGAUGCUCUAGUACAUGCAUCCUGGUAUACUUCCUGCCCGUCUCUAAAAUUAAGAACCACAAGAGAUCAACCCUCAAGCCUGGUAUAUAUCCCAUCUAAUGGAGCACCAACCACCACCUUUUUGUAAAUGGAAGUAUUAUAGGCGAGCUCCCCAAUCAAGUGUGUGGCUCUUCAGUUGGAGCACCAUUAGAUAUGUGUUAGUCUCCCCAAUCAAGUAUCCUCACAUGAUAUAUGUGUAGCCUCCCGUACCCCUAUCUGCUUGGUUAAAGUCAUGUAGGUAGGGGCUUAAUCUUCUUCAUAAAUCGUGCUCGUGGUACAAGUAUUCAUCGAUGCUUGAAAGGAAAUACGUGGGAGUUUGAGUUUAAUACAAAGACCAAACUCUCACAAAAGUGUGUUUGAAUUCAUCCAGAGAUCCGAGUCGACCGCCCGGCCGCCCCUGCCCCGGCCGCCCCGGCUCCCCGGCCCCGGCCCCGGCCACCCCGGCGCCCCGGCCUCGACUGCCUCGGCACCGGCCGCUCCGGCAGCCGCGCCCCCAGCAGCAGCAGUCCAAGUGAACAGAAGGGUGCCAACUUGGAAUUAUGCUGGCGGCGAGCCGGAUUCGGAGCAGGAGGCCAAGGAUCUGAGCAAGAGCGGUGGCUUGCGGUCGUCGUCGUCGUUGCUGAUGCCGACAAUGCCGCGGCGGCACCACCUCCUUCCUCGGCGCGCCCGGUUCUAGUCCUGCUUCCGUCGUCGUCUUCACUGCCACGCGCCCUUUCUCGAUUUCGGCGGCGGCGUGGUGGUCCUGAACAUGCCAUGGCUAGUCCGGCAUUCUCAGACCUCCUUGGUCUGAACCCCCGUCCUGGCGCUGGUGUUCAAGCGGUGAUCAAGGCAAAGUUUGGCUCCUCGGUGUCGCCCGUCUCUCGCGGGAAAGCCUUUCUUCUUGUCGCCUCCUUUGGCCAUUGUAAGUUCAAGCUCACUCCUGCUUCUGUGGGUGCUAUCCUUCAGGCCACUCUGGGUGGCGUCGCUGCUGAUUUUGAUGUGUUUCCUCUUGCGGAUCGCGUCUUUCGUUUUGCUGUUUCUUCGAGCCUUGUUGGUUUUCACAUUAUUAAAUUGCUUUCCUUUGAGUGUUCCUCCUACAAAUUAUUCUUCCAUCUUUGGAGCAAUGGUGGUCCAAACUGGAUAAGGGAGUGGAGAUUGUUUUGUGCUGAAGAAGCUGCCUCCUGGACUGUAGUUCGUAAAGGAAAUAACUUGAUCAAACCUUCAGUUUCUUUUGUGGAUGCUGUCAAGAACUCUCCUUUGACAGGUGCUAACAGAGUGCCGAUCAAAGUUCGUCAGGCGAAGAGAAGUGUGUUUGAUCGGUUGUUCUUCCCUUCUCGUUCCGACGUUGCACUCGAAAGAGAUAUCACGUCAGCUGUUCAGAGCAGAUUGACAGGGACAGAACGCAAGGGGACUGGCUGGUCAAAUGUGGCAAGAUCGGAGCAGCCGGUCAUUGGGCCAAAUCAGAUACCUGGUUCGAUCUUGGGUCAAGGGCCUGCUGCAAAAAAUCCUUUGGGUGCUCUGCCGCCCGGGAUUUGCUUCCGUUGUCUUAGGCCUGGACAUCCUAGGAGCAUGUGCAAAUCCCCCAUUAGAUGUUAUGCUUGUGGACGUGGGGGACAUAUUGCAACAAAUUGCCUGAGCAGCAGGCAUUGGAAAGGCAAAGCCUUGGCAGUAAACAGUAAUGAUGGGGUGGAGCCAAUUUCUGUAUUGGAACCUGAUUCGGUCUCUGGGCCUCUGCCUCGUAGUCCAGCUGACCUCAGGGGCUUCACAACUUGGGCCGAGUUGCAGGCGUCUACCUCUAAGGCAGCACCUCCAUCGCGACCAAUCAACUUACAGUGGCUGCCCAAGAAGCUGAGCUUGAAUGGUGGAGCAAGCAACUUGGUGGCCCACCCUCCAGAGACUGCUCUAUGCCUGGGGAGAUCUAUUACAGUGAUCGGUGUCCCUCCGUCUUCCUUUAACUCACCAGCUAGCAACGAGAGGAGCUCUAAAGCCCCCAAAAAACCCCAGUCGGCCGGAGAACCCCAAACUCAAGCCCAAGCUCCAGUUUCUUCCUCCUUAGGCGCUGAGUCGGUCACGAUGAUGGCCUAUCAACGUGUCGACCCCAACCCCUUCAAGCCGUGGGGGACUCACAUUCUGAACAUCCCCAACAGGCCGAUGAUGGUGAGGACGAUUGCUCUAAGAAGGCCGCAGCUAAGAAAUGAAAAUCUGGCAAUCGUCACCAUUUCGCCGUUGCCGGGUAAUCCUCUAUAUUUCCCUGCAGUGGAAGAAGUAGUCCGUGAGUUCUGCAUUAACAGAAGGGUUAGAAUUAGUGAAGUACAGCCAUGUCCACUGGGUCAAGCUUUUGUUCGUUUUGAGCGGGAUAUUGAUAGAGAUCGCUUGGUUUUAGAAAGUCCACACUCAUUCGAUGGGGUGGAUUUUUCUUUUGUGCGCCACAAUCAGGCAAGAAAUUGGAGGAGAGUUUAUUUUAACCAUGAAUGUUGGCUGAUGUUGAUGGGGCUACCGCAAGAUUACUGGGAUCAAGACUUCAUUGAAACUGUGUUGGGUCCUUGUGCGAAGGUACUUGAUUGGGGCAAUGACCCUGGAAAUCUGGCUAGAAUGCUUGUUAGAGCUCGGGUGACUGACUUGGAGGCCUUACCCCAUUUUUCUAUUUUUUCUGAUGGGAUUGGACAUGAGAGCAACUCUUGGACUGUGCAGAUUGAAAUCCUUCAGAAUGAGAAUCUGGGGUUAGGACCCCAGGAAGAAGAACAUGUACCUGCUCCUCCGGAUGAUGGGCCUCCUUUGUUUGACUUCUUUGGCCUAGGCCAGCAGGUUUUGGCCCCUGUCGCCCAGCAUGAUGAAGAACAAGCUAAUGUGCUAGAACAAGAGCAGCAACAGCAGUGGCCUGCUUGGCCAGAAGUGCUUCCGGUCCAACAAAUUGAUCUGAAUCUUGCUCAACCAGAGGGACUAGUGGACCUUAAUGAAGCUCCUGUUGUUGAUGACCCUCAGGAAGUUAUCAUCCAUCCAACUCAGUUUCAACAGCAGGAAGAUGCCCUUGAGAUUAUGCCCCAACCUGAAUUACAGCCGGAAAUACAGCCUGCACAUCAAGUGGUUAUACCUGAUGUGCAAAUCCCUGUGCAGGUCCUGAUCCCCGCUCUUUAGUUCCCUGGGCAGAAUUUCUUACAUCAUGAGACUAAUGAGGAAGAACUAAUGGACCUGGAUCUAGAGGGUCAGCAUGGGGAGGAUGCAGUCCAGCCGCCAGAGGUGCAGAUGCAUGAAGACCAGGAAGACUUUCAGGUGGAUCUUGGUCAGGGAGAUCGGGACAUCAUGGACAUGGCAGUGGAACAAGUUGAGAUAGGGGAGAAUCUGACAGCAACCAAUUAUCAGUUAUUCCAAGCUAACACAAGUAACCCAACAACAGAGCAGUCCUCAAUUGCUCCUUCUUCUGCACAGAUUCCAUUGGCACAGAUUGCUUGCACUGACAUUUCAGGGGCACAAAGUUACAAUGCUACUCAGCCUGAAACUGGGAAUAUUCUUCAGCCUUCUGGACGAGAACCGACAGUUUCUGAGGACAAUGUGUCAGAGCACAAGGUGAUCCAGUUAGGGAUGGUUAGAACUUUCUUUGCUAACCCCUUAGAAAGUUCUGUUGACAUAACUCUGGCGCCAAAGCUUUUGGGAGGGCAGGAAAAGCAUGAGAAGGCCCUGCUAGAAAUUCCAUCCAAGUGGGUGGGCUUCUUCCAAGCUCUCCUCCAGGCCCCAGCCCAGCAAAAAUGGGCUAAACAACUUUUGGACCUUGGGCUCCCACAGCUGCUGAAUGAUGGAUUCAAGCCAAAUCAUUCUUGGCCUGUGCAGCCAAAUCAUUCUUGGCCUGCGCAGCCUACAGAACUGGCAAUGCCCCCUUGCAGGCUCCUCGAGUGCGAACCAAUGAUUGCCAAGGAAAUUGAGGAAGCUAUCCCUGAGGAUGACAUUGAUGAUUCACCUCCUGGCAAGAAGAGAGGAAGGAAGGCUAAAAUAGCAACCCCUAUUAUUGACUCAGCUGUCAGGAGAAGCACUAGAAUGAAAGGCAUUUCUAAUGGCUUCAAACAUGACACAUGUGUUUCUAAAGAUUGUCUGGGUUGUGCUGCCAAGGCACCUUCUAUCUCCACAAAAGCCUUGAAGAAUAUAGGUAUCUCCCUCUGUCAGCUUAAGGAGGACCAGCUUAGUGAGGAAGUCCUGAUGAAAAAGAAGAAGUUGGAUCCAGUUGGGAAGAAAAUGAAAAAAGUCAAGAAAAUCAAGAAUGACAACAAGGUCUUUAAGGGCACUGAGAAAAAGGAUGAUGAGGACAAGGAAGAUGGGGAAUUCAAUGGCAAUAAAAACGAGGAUGGUGGGGACAAGGCAGAUUGCUAGACUUCAGAUUGCCUGCCAGAAAGUUUUACUCUCUGCUCAGUUUCACUCCUUUUCUCCUUUUGUUUAAUAUGAGUCACAACAAGGCCUGGAUUGUUCUUAAUUGGAAUGUGAGAGGGCUUAACUCUAGUAAAAAGUGGAAUUCCAUCAGAGAUAAAAUUGUUGAGAGCAAAUGUCAGAUUCUUUGCUUGCAAGAAACAAAGAAAGAGAACUUUGAGAGUAGUUUCAUUAGAAAUUUUUGCCCCCCUACCUUUGAUAAUUUUGUCUCCCUUCCCUCUGAGGGAGCAUCUGGGGGUAUUUUAGUAGCCUGGAAAAGUGCCGACUUCUGGGGUAAUCUAAUCUUCAGUAAUAGAUUUGCCUUAUCAGUAGAAUUUACUUCAAGGCUAAAUAAUGACACUUGGAUUCUCACUACCAUUUAUGCGCCGUGCACUAGUGUUGGUAAAAGGGAGUUCCUGAAUUGGUUUGGGGGGAUCAACAUGCCAGCUGAUAUUGAUUGGUUAAUUGUGGGUGACUUUAACCUUAUGAGAAGGCCAGAAGAUAGAAACAGAGAAGGAGCAGAUCCCCAGGAAAUGUUCAUGUUUAAUGAAGCAAUCAGUAGGCUGGGGCUUAUUGAACUACCCCUGCAUGGAAGGCAUUUCACUUGGACAAACAAGCAGUUUCCUCCACUGCUGGAAAGACUCGAUUGGUUUUUCACCUCUACCUCCUGGACUGCGAAGUUCCCUAAUACACUGGUCAAGACCUUAGUAAUGGAAACAUCCGACCAUUGGCCUUGUGUAGUGGAAAUCAACACACCCAUUCCCCAAAGUAGAAUAUUUAGGUUUGAAAACUUUUGGCUAAGCUUGGAAGACUUUUUGCCAACUGUAAUUAGUGGAUGGAACUGCCCAGGCAGCAUCCUUGACUCAGCCAGAAUGCUCUCAGCAAAAUUCAAAAACCUGAGGAAGGUGAUUAGAGAAUGGAGAAAGAGCCUGCCCAACCUCAGUUUGGCAAUUGAGAAGAUCAAGCUGGUGCUAAACUUCCUAGAGACUAUUGAAUUAUUCAGAGACUUAUCUUUGCCUGAGUGGAAUUUCAGAAAUCUAGUGACUGAAAAGCUCAUAUAUCUUUUGAAACAGCAGAGAACUUAUUGGAAACAAAGAGGGAAAAUCAGAUGGGUGAAAGAGGGUGAUGCAGGCACUAGGUUCUUCCACUCCCAUGCAACAAUCAGACAUAGGAAGAAUAAUAUCACUUCCCUCUUGGAUCCCCUAGGAAACCAUCUUGUGGGUCAUGGUUGCAAAGCGGAACUGUUGUGGAACUCUUACAAGGACAGGAUGGGUCAGUCUGAAUUUAACCGAAUGAUUCUCAACCUCGAACAGUUGCUACAGCCUGCUGAGGGCCUAGAUGUUCUAGAAACUCCACUUACUAGAAGUGAGAUUGAUGGUGUGGUAAGCAAUCUUCCCAAUAACAAAUCCCCUGGUCCAGAUGGGUUUAGUAAUGAAUUCAUCAAAGAAUGCUGGCCCCUAGUGGCAUCUGACUUCUAUAAGCUAUGUGAAGAUUUCCAAAGUGCAAAUAUUUGCCUAAGAAGCAUCAACAAUUCUUACAUAGUGUUGAUCCCAAAAAAAGAUGGCCCUCAAUCAGUGUCUGACUAUAGGCCAAUCUCUUUGCUCAAUUCCUCAGUCAAGCUCCUAACCAAGCUAUUGGCGAAUAGGUUGCAGUCAAAAAUCAAGAAGAUUGUUCACCAAAAUCAAUACGGAUUCAUCAAGUCUAGGACCAUACAGGACUGUUUGGCUUGGGCAUUGGAGUAUCUGCAUAUUUGUCACACCUCAAAAAAGGGGUUGAUUAUCCUCAAGCUUGAUUUUGAAAAAGCUUUUGAUAAAAUUGAGCAUGGUGCAAUUUUAGAGAUUCUCAAGGCUAAAGGCUUUGGUCAAAAAUGGGUUGAAUGGAUAAGUUCCGUUCUCUGUUCUGGAACUUCUUCUAUUUUGUUAAAUGGAGUGCCUGGCAAAGUUUUUCACUGCAAAAGGGGGGUCAGGCAGGGGGACCCUCUAUCCCCUUUACUCUUUGUGCUUGCAGCAGACCUCCUUCAAUCUUGCAUCAACAAGGCUAAGGACUUAGGGAUUCUAAAAUUACCAAUACCUCUGGGAUACACAAGUGACUUCCCCAUCAUCCAAUAUGCAGAUGACACUUUGUUAGUAAUGGAGGCAAACAGUAGACAACUGCUAGCUCUAAAAAGUCUCCUGUACACCUUUGGUGAGUCCACUGGCUUGAAAGUUAAUUAUUCUAAAUCUUUCAUGGUUCCUAUAAAUCUGAACCAGGAAAGACUCCAUCAUCUGGCAAGGACGUUUGGCUGUGAUAUUGGUUCUUUACCUUUCACUUACCUGGGCCUUCCUUUAGGUCUCACUAAGCCAAGAAUUGUUGAUUUCUCUCCCUUGGUUAGCAAGUGCGAACGUAGACUUGCAGCAACAUCAAUCUUUCUUAACCAGGCAGGGAGGCUUGAAGUGACCAAUUCCAUCCUAACUGCAAUGCCUACUUUCUGUAUGAGUACGUUCCUUCUUCAGCAAACAGUUAUUGAGCAAAUCGACAAAUUCAGAAAGUUAUGCCUGUGGAGGGGAGCCGACAUAAACGCAAAGCAAAGGCCAAAAGCAGCAUGGUCUUCGGUUUGUAAAGAAAAGAAUGAAGGUGGACUAGGUGUACUGUGCCUCAAAACUCAAAAUGAAGCCCUACUGUUAAAACAUUUGCACAAGUUUUUCAACAGAGAUAACCUACCCUGGGUAGCUCAGAUCUGGGAGAAAUACUAUAGCAAUGGUAGGCUACCGGGUAGCACAAGAAAAGGUUCAUUUUGGUGGAGAGAUAUAUUAAAGUUAUUGCAUAAAUUUAAAGGAAUGGCAAGGUUUGAAAGUGGCAGUGGAAAUUCUUGCUUUAUGUGGCAUGACCUGUGGGGUGACGCAAUUCUGGCUCAAAGUUUCCCUGAACUUUAUUCAUUUGCGAAGAAGAAGAACAUCACUCUAGCUGAAGGGACAUCCCAGUUGCCCCUUCACACUCUCUUUCAUCUUCCGAUGUCAACACACGGCCAUUCUCAGAUGCUGCAACUUCAGACCCUAAUAGAGCAUACAAAUCUUGGAGAAACCCCUGAUAAAUGGACCUAUAUUUGGAAUUCGAGCAACUUCACAGUCAAGCAGGCAUAUAGCCACCUGAGUGGACAGAUCAUUGCUCACCCUUUCUUCAAAUGGCUUUGGGCUUCCCCUUGUCAAAGCAAGCACAAAGUCUUCUUUUGGUUGGUUCUCAAAGAUCGCUUAAGCACAAGAGAACUGCUUAGAAGAAAAAGAAUGUUUCUGCCAGACUACACCUGCGUCCUUUGCAAUGGAAGUGAAGACGAGUCACUUUUUCAUUUGCUUCUUGACUGCCCUUUUGCAAGGGAUUGUUGGGCAAUGGUGAAUAUUACGGUAAACAAUCAGCUUGAUCCCUUUCAAAUCCUGAUGGAUUUCAAAGAUCAGCUUGGGAUACCUUUCUUCAUGGAAGUCUUGAUUUUGAUGAGCUGGGCUAUUUGGAAAGCAAGAAACGACUUCAUCUUUCGACAGAUCUUGCCAAAUCUGCAAAGUACCAGAUCGUUCUUCAGAGAUGAGCUUAAGCUCCUAAUGCUUAGGAUGAAAAGAAGUGUUAUCCCCCGCUUUGAACAAUGGAUUGCCAGCUUAGUUUAGCCAGGCCCGUACUGGUGUUGUCUUUGAUUUUCUUCCUAACGUUCUUUGUUUCUUGAGCGGGUCAUGUCUUUGACUCUGCUUUUUUUGGUUUCUUGUAUUUACUGAACCUCUACUUUUUAUAUUAUUCCAUUUUCUGUAGGGGUGCAAACCCCUCCAGUCCCUUCAAAAAAAAAAUUCUUUUUGUCUUCCUAGUGAACAAAUAAAAAGGAUGAAAAUACUAAUAGUUUCCACAAUUGUUUGGUACUCCCUCUUUUGAAAUUAAUAGUUCAUCACUUUAAUUUAUCCUUAGUCAAAUCUCUUUAACUUUGAAUACAUCAACAUCUAAAACAUCAAAUUAGUUUAUUGCAUUAUUCUUUAUGGAAAAUGUUUUUUGACUGAGAAGUUGUUUGAACUUGUAGAUAUUAUUCAUAAAAACUGAAUCAAAUUUAGAAAAUUUUGAUUUAAAGUCAACCACAUAAGACUGUGUUCAACUAGAUUUAAUUAAGGUGCAACUUUUAAGACCGAUUAUAUUGAAAUAGAAUAGCUAUAUAUUUGUGGCGUUGUCUUCUUGGCCUCUAGUACUCAACAUCUGGUUAUUUAUUAUUCUCAGAAAAGAAUAUAUUCAUUGAGCUCUUUUACAGUGGUUGGGGGUACUUCUAGGUUCCUAAGUAAUUUAUUAGCUCUAAUUAAUUUUAUGAGUGGAAGGUUAGUACGGUAAUUGUAACCCGCAACCCCUUGCAACACCCUACGCACUCGUCUAAAAAAAACAGAAGGAUGCGAGGCCCGUCCUGCCCUCGCACUCUCGUCACCGCCGCCUCGCCCUCGCCAAGUCGCCAUCGCGCGUUGUGCCCUCACCCUCCUGCGGCGGCGCUACUGCCGACGGCCUGCGCUCGCCCUUGGACGGUGCCGCAGCCGCCUCGCCCUCGGUAUCGCGCGUCGUGCCCUCGCCCUCCUGCGGCGGCGCUGCUGCCGACGGCCUGCCCUCGCCGUCGCCCUUGCACGGUGCCGCAGCCGCCUCGCCCUCGCUAUCGCGCGUCGUGCCCUCGCCCUCGCACGGCACCACCGCUGGCCUACCCCAAACCUUGUGCGUAGUGCCGCCACCAGCCUGCCUCGGCAGAUCGCCGCCGCCGGUCUGCCCUCGGCCUUGUGCGGUGCCAGCCCUCCUUCCAGCAGUAGUCGUUGGCGCAGUGGCCGGGGUCACAACAGGGAGGAGGGUACGCCGCGCCGUACCCAGCCCCGGCGUAGCAGCCCAUCGCCGCGGCAGCUGGACCGGCGGUACUCGCGGAUUCCCGACGACUACGACUUAGUGGACAAGGUAUGCGUGCGAUUGCUAUGUCAUUUGUAAUUCGUAGCGAGGUCUUGGAUCUUAGUUACAAUGGAAGCAGUGAAUCGACUCAAUUUGAACUUCCCGUUGCUGCAGUGCUCGAGAGGUACGCCAGGGAGGGGAGAAGCCCGUGACUGAACCCGGCUGCAGCAGAGAGCUUCCAGCUUCACCACUCUCAUUUCAGCUGUCAGAGUAAGCCAUCAGUAUGCUUUAUUUUGUUGUAACAAAACAUUUUGGUGGUUUGUUUGUGCUUGUAUUUUGAAUGUUAGUAUGCAAUUGUAGUAUGGAUGCUGUGGAAUUCAGAUUAAGGUUUUUUAUUUAGUUUCUGGGACAUAAUGAAAAUAGGGAUUACCCUGUUUUUGAAGAGAAAUUGAACUGCCGAGUAAGGCAACCUUAGCUUACUGAUCUUGUCAUCCACAUUUCUAGGUUUCCUCCAAAUUGUUUGAACUCAGAGAUCAUUCCUAAAAGGCCAAAAUGAAAUGUUUAGUUGUCCACUAGAUCGAUUUCUAUUUAAUUGUCUGGCUGAGUAUUUCUUAGACAACUGUAGUUUCAUUUAUAUUAUUUAUUUCAUUUUUUUUGUGAAAAAUUAUUUCACGAUUGACAAAUAUGAUUCCUUUUGUUUAAAGCAUGUUUUUGUUUCAAUGACACGGCAAAACUUGAGAUCAUGGACAUCUAGUUUUAUUUUAUUGGUACCUGCCAAAUUAUACAAAAAGACAUACAGCAAGCAGGAAAACUUUCUGGAUGUCGUUCUUCUGAUUUGGUCCAUUGUAUACAACUAGGCCCGAUGCUUUUGGUCGUCUGGAUAAUAACAUAUCUCGUAUAACUUAGGAGUGCACAUAUAUGUGUUAGUUGUUGCUUUAUUUGCCAAUCUGCACACUCAGUUGAAUUAUUUCUCACAGAAUUAGUUUACUGCAUUAUUUUUAUUGAAUUAUGUGUUACCUAGAUAUUUCUCGGAGCCCAAUCACUUUUCACCUUUCUUACACUACCAAUUGAUGGAUAUAGGAGGAAAUGCCGGAUCUUGAGUCAUUGCUAGAGUACAAUGAAAUUGUUAGGAAGAUGUUUGCUAAUGAAGAAGAAGGAUUUCAGUUCUAUAACAACUACGGUUCAGAGAAAGGUUUUAGUGUGAGGAGAAGCUAUUGUGAGUGGGACAAUGGCCAUAAUGAGAUGACCCUUCGGAAGUUCGUUUGCAGUCGUCAAGGUUUCCGUGAAGAGAAGCAGCUGAAGAGGGCGAUUAAGAAGCGGAAGCCGCGGAAUAUUACCCGUGUUGGGUGUCUUGCUAAAUUUGUGAUUGCACGAGAUCAGAUCACAGGGCAGUGGUAUGUGAAGGAUUUCAUCGAUGAACAUAACCAUCCGAUGGCGCCAGCAGAUCUCACUUAUCUAUUGCGUUCACAUAGAAGAAUCAGCGACGAGCUCAAAGCUGAGAUUGUGGAGAUGGAGAGUUCUGGGGUGCGCAAACACAAGAUAAUGGAUAUUUUGGAAAUGCGGUAUGGUGGGUAUGAUAAGGUUGGGUGUACAACAAGGGACUUGUAUAAUUUCUGCCACCGCUAUAAGGCGAAGACAAUUGCUGCCGGUGACACUCAAACGGUCAUUAGCUACUUGACGGAACUUCAGCGCAGAGAUCCUGAUUUCUUUUUUGAGUACAUGGUUGAUGGGGAAGGACACCUAAAGGGCCUAUUCUGGUGUGACAGUCAAUGUCUGCUUGAUUAUGAAGCUUUUGGUGAUGUCGUUGUAUUUGAUAGCACCUACAAAACUAAUCGGUACAACCUACCCCUUGUUCCUUUUGUUGGGGUGAAUCACCAUCGAAGCACAGUUAUUUUUGGGUGUGGAAUUAUUUCUCAUGAGAAUAUUGAGUCAUAUGUGUGGAUGCUACGUACAUUUUCUGAGGCCAUGAUUCAGAAGCAUCCGGUCUCCGUGAUCACUGAUGGGGACCUUGCUAUGCAGAGAGCAAUCAGGUUGGUGUGGCCGAAUUCAUCGCAUAGGCUCUGCAUAUGGCAUAUUGAGCAGAACAUUGUGCGCAAUGUUAAAGAUGAUGUUGUGAAAGAUGAAUUCAGGAGUUUCCUUUAUGAUUGUUGGCCCAUAGAAGAGACUGAGACAAAAUGGUUGCAAUUUUUGGAUAAGCAUAAGGUUACAAAUAAGGAGUCAUGGUUGUAUCAGAUGUAUGAUACGAGGGAAAUCUGGUGUGCUUCGUAUCAUGCUGGUAAGUGCUACUUAGGACUGAGGAGCAACCAAAGGAGUGAGAGCCUAAACUCUAGGAUUCAUAUGCGUCUAGAUCGUAAAAUGACACUGCUUGACAUGGUACGUCAUGUGGACCAUUGCCUUUCAGGGCGGCGCGCAAAUGAGGCAAAGCUGGACACCGAUGCAUUGCAAUCUGAGGUAUGCACAGAUCCAGAUGCUUCAAUUAUUGAGCUAGAAGCCGUGAAAUCGUUCACUCCAACAGUUUUCGCCAUGGUGCAGUUCAGCAUAAAAGCAGCCAAGAAGUGUUUUUUGAUUGAGAUUGAGGAUGGUGAUAAUAUGAGUGAGUAUAUUGUCGGCAGGAAGGAUAAAGGAGACAUGAUGUACUUCGUCAAAUGUGAAUUUUGUGAUGAAGGCAAUCUGAAGAAAAUUUCUUGUUCUUGUCGUAAGUUACAAUCGAUUGGAACCCCCUGCUCACACAUCUUCUUUGUGUUGGGCCAUCGACAUGAAGACAAGCUUCCAGACUGUUGUGUUUUGAAAAGGUGGACAAUGGGCGCAAAGAAUGCAUUUCCUCCAAAUAGGAACAGCACCAUGUACGACUAUUCCGAUAGCCUACAGAGGUACCGUGAGCUACGCAAUAUCAGUCACGCUGCAUCCUUCGCAGCAUCUCGCUCAUCUGAAUCAUAUGAGCGGUUGAAGCGCGUUCUAGAGGAUGAAGCUGCUAUGAACUUGCCAAAUGGAGGAGAUAACGGAAGCAAGAGGUAUGGUCCGGUGCUGCCACAAGCCCCGGAUGUUGAUUCUAUAGCGUUCAGUAAUGUGUUGGACCCCUUGCGUGUGCCUGGAAGAGGGGCCCCGAAGAAAAAUUUAAAGUCAAUUUCAAAUAAUAAAAAAACUAAGGUCAAAUGUAGCCUGUGCAAGGGUGAGGGUCACAAUCGGCGAACAUGCUCCAUGAGAAAAGAGGUAGUUCAUCUUAGCUGAAAAUAGGCCGUCUGUGAGGCAUGUGUAGUUAUGACUAAUGUUUGUCCUCUUCAUUUGUAGGAAUCAAAGCUCCCUGAAGAUGUGCUGGAUAUAUGAUCACCUUAUGAUUUGUUGCUCCCUGAAGUCAAAUCAAUAUUGGUAAGUUGGUAUGCCCGUUGCGAACUCCUAGAUAUAUGAAGUUGCUGGCAAGCACAUUUUAAUCACUGAAAAUUUUCAAUCUAGCACUACACUACAGCUAAUACUGUUAUUGAACUGGUUAGCAUAUCAGUAGUUCCAGAAAACUUGGUUUCUCCUAUGUUGCUCCCAUUUGAGCUGUUCAGACAAUUCAGUACCUCUAUAUAAGUUGUUGUGAAACAGUUGUCAGUUGAAGCCUCAUGUUAACCUUCUUUCUCUGCAGCAUUACUGUUUCAGGACCUGCUGUUUCAAAGUAUUGUGCGAGACACUUACACAUGACAUGAAAGUUUUCGUGAUAAUCUCCAAACUGCAGUUGAGAGAACGUUCUUAAGGUUUUCAGACUUUUUUAGUUCCUGAAUUCAUGAAUUAUAUAUUUUUAUAUGGCAUAAGUUAUUUUCCUCCAUUACUAGAGUGUCCAUGACAAAGCACCAACAUUACAAGAGCUGCUGCGGAACAGGCUGCUGCCACUCGAGCUGCUAGUACUUCCGCACCGUCCAGCCCCAGCUUCCUAGCCAGACCCAAGACCGAGAGACCCAAAAGGUCCAAGAGCUCAGAGCUUUGAGUUUGUUUUCUCAGGAAAAGAUGAGCUUGGUUACCCUGGUUCUUUCAUGUGGUGCAUCUUAUCCCCCACAGUUUGGAUUCGUUUUAUCAGGACAAGAUGAACUUGAUUUUGUUUUUGUGUAGGAUGAUUGCCAAUGAGAGUAGCUUGUCGGUCUAGGCAUUGACGAUGGAAUUUUUGCCUGUGAACCAUAUAUGUUUAGUUUAUCACAGCGAUAUUCUUGUUUUCUACGGCCUGGAGGAUGCUUAAUGUCCUAGUACUGUUUUUUUUGAAUGGAUAUUACGAACAGAACUUGUACAUGCAUUUUGUGUGUCUUUGAGCUUUCAUGCCUGGAUUUAAGCUUGUAUGCUUUUCUUCUAAGGUCAAGCCGAACCCAACAGUCACUCAUAUUUUUUGCUUCCAUGCUUUUCUUCUGUAUCUUUCAUGUUAACCCCAAGUUCCAUAUAUAUAUAUAGUGCUGCUUAGGUAGUUAAGUUGUUCUUUUUUCAAGAUUCUGGUGUGGAAGCCGCCCAUUAUAAACUACAGUACAUAUGUCAGUGCAUCUCAUGAUGGCAUACAUACAUAUUGCAUACAUACACGUCUAAAACUUUCAGAGAAGAAAUUUCUCACGGCAUGUGCUUGAUCUGAAAAUGUAACUCAUGGUGAUUCUGCCAGCUACCAAGCAACACAUAACCAUGACCAACACAUAACCAUGACACAAUAACACCAAGCUGUAGCAUUGCAUAGCUCAUUAGCUUCCGCAAGAUUGCAACACAUGCAGAGUUGUAAUACAUGCAUCUUAAAAUAAUAUAAUCAGACUUCAAACCUAACUUUUUUAAAAGAUGUGACACACUUAAUCUAACUUCAAACUGAAACAUAAUGCAACCUAAAAAUAAUGAAGCGCAGAGGGACUGUCGCCUUGUUCUUCUUCCUCAGCAUAUGGAGAGCAUGUUUCUUCACGACACGGGACUGUUGCCUUCAUCUUCUUCAUCUAGUAUCCUUGUUCUUAUUCCUCAUAGUAGUCUGUUUCCAUGUCCGACAUGCCCUGCAAGUUCAUUUCAUCUUAUAAUAUAUAUGGUUGUAUGAAGUAGUGUUUUUUUUUGUGAAGAGGAACCAAUACUCACAGCGUGGAAAUCGUCGUUAGAUCCUGUCACUAGGUAUAGAUGACAAGUUUUAAUCCUCUCUUUUUCAUGAGCAAGCAUCAAUUGAUCUACCUCUUCUUGUCCGUCAAUCUGUACUAACCCGUCCAUCUGUACUAACCCAGUUGAUGGCUGACUCCCAGGAGCAGGAUUGAGGUAGUAUAGCUGUCCGCCUCCUCUAUAUCCAAAAGGUUUCAAAGCCUCCAACAUCGUGACAAACUUAACAGUAGUAGGCGACUCUGUAAAUGCAAACUCGCCUAAUUCUUCUCGACUGUCGUAGUACUCCCUCAGAUCCGAAUAAAGUUCCUUCACUGAGUGUAAGAUAAAUCGCAUUACAACAUUCUGCACGUAUAAAUUAGACGAAUAAGGACAAUUUGGCCACAUAGAGUUCUUAUAAGAAAACUAUACAAAAAUUUCAUAUACCGGGCGGCACUUGUUGUACAGUAAUAUAUGCAUGUAUUUCUGUGGUAUGUAGAUCCCAUCUUGUGCCUAAAAUAUUGAAGACGUUCAAAUGGUUAUCUAUAUAAUUGAAAAUAUGAAAUACUAGUGUACUGUAGUUACCAUUACAUUCAUGUUGGCGUUCCUAUUGACACGGAGCUCCUCUUCUCGGAUCAAGGACUCAAUUAACAUCUUCAAUUUUGUGCGCUCAUUAUCCAACUCCUUAUCCAUUUGUUCCCCUGCUUGCUUAAUCAUGGAGUCAACGUUGGCUCGCUCUUUCUUUAUGUUGGCAUCAUUUUCUUCAAGAACCUUUGAUAAGGAUUCAUUUAAGACGUCGCGUUCCUGCUUCAUCUUCUCGGCAAAGGCAGCACGCUGAUCACAUAAUGCUUGCAUCAGCAUCUGACGCAGUGCGACCUGCAUACUCAUAGCAGCGUCAUUCUGCUCAAUGGUAGACCCUUCAUCCAACAGUUUUCGCUGAGAUAUUAUGUACCGGUCAUUUUGUUGACGCUUUUGUUUUGUUCCGAUGUCAGCGAUGGAACGGUCAAGCUCUAACUUCAAUUUCAUAUCCUCGAAGUCUGCCUUAAGUUUGAUAGUCAUCUCGUCCAACUCCUUCAGGUGGUUUGUAAGAUGCAUGAUACCUGUAGUUUGACGUAACAGUUUUAUAAAUCAUAAACAAAUAAAAAUGCCUUAAGUUUUGAGCAGGAAUCAUUGGCAGUAGUAGAUAGUUGCGAUCCAAAAGCUUACAAUACAACAAUAAAUGACAGAAACUUCAUAUAAGAGGUACUCCAUGACAGUUGCAGAUAGUUGUAACCAUUGUUCACCAUGAUUAAUUGCUACAUCUCAGGUUGUUAAUCCGGCCUAUUAUGGAUUGCCGACUCGUAACAAGAGCCACCACAUAAAUCAAGAGAGGGUUCACAUGUACAACUGAUAAAAGUAGACAGCAAGUGGCAUACCAAGGCGGCAUGGAGGCGGCUGCGCGUUCGGCAGCAUCUAGCCCGUCCGAGGUCGUUGUCGAGGUCCCAAGGAGCAGGCGACAACGGCGAAGUAGACCUGGGUUGCCUCCUGCUCGCCGAUUUGAUGUUGAGGCGCCUACUGGAUGCACGGAGCAGGGGCACCAGGCUGCAAUUGGAAGGGGCCGAGAUCCAGCUAUGGAGAGGGACCGGAUGCGGCGACGAUUAUGGGAUGUGAACUGCUCCGCCUGCGCCGAUUGAAAUCAAUCGGGGUUCUUAGGUUAUGCGACGGCGGUCUGUUAGCUUUUCAGUGGCGGCGGCCAAUAGCUUCUCAGCAGCUUGGACCUAGCAUGGGCUUUACGGUUUGCAAUUGAUGGUCAUCCGGCCCAAUUUAAAAGAGACUGAUAAAAAUGUAGAAUGGGCUUUAGGGUUAGCAAUUGAUGCUCAUCCAACGGCCCAAUUCAAAAAAAUACUGCAAAAAAUUGACAUGCAGGGAAUCGAACACAGCAUGUUCGAAAUGAAUCCUAACAUGCAUCAACUAACCACCACGUCCAAUGUUCGGAUAUGAUAAUGUUGUACGUGUUUUGGUUCUUGAAGGAACAAACCAGCUGGGUUUUGCUAGCCCAAACCCAUGACCCAGGUUUAAUUUGGUGGCCAGUAAAGUAGUUUAUAUCUACCCACCUAAUCUAUAUAUCAUAAGCACUUUGUAUAAAUAAUAUUUAGAUAAUAAGGUAUGGAACAAUCUUUAGUUAGUAUUACAAAAGGUAGAGAAAAGAACAAAACACAAGUAUCCAUACAUGACACAUUUGCUUGAGGUGGUGUUGUCUACCUAUGUCUUAACAAGAAAAACGAGGCCACAUGUGUUUAUUUUUAGUUAUUAGUCACAACAUGAUGUUUUUAGUCUCAUAUCGCCAACCAGAGGAGAGUGGUGGAAUCUAUACUAUUUAGUGAUACCUAGGCAAGCAGUUAAAAUCUAUAAUAUUUUUCUCUUCUUAGAUUAGAAAGACAAAAAGAUUGAAAUACAUGACAUAUUUAUAUCUAAUAAAUAUCUACGAAAUAAGUUUAAAUUCUAUUGAUAUCAUGGGUGACCCGUGGGUACCUUGACCCGAUGGUCAUGAGUUUGGGCACAAAACUAAACCCGUGAUGGAUCAUGGGUUUUUAACGGGUAGAUUUUUUUCCAGCUCGGCUCGGCUUGUUAGGAUAUAUUAUUAUUUAUUAUUAUUAUUUUAAAGCUUUAGAUAAAUAUACAUAUCAUAUUUUAUUUACUUUUUAUAUCUGGCUCGGCUUGUUAGCUGAGUUAGCUUGUUAUCCUAACUAGCCAAAACGAGACGAGCCGAGCUGGCUCGUUAUGUAGCCUUACAUGUCUUACAAUUCGAGCCGAGUUAUGAUUUUAGCUUGUUAGUUAUAAUGCAGUUGGAAUGUUUAAUCAUAUACUCUUAUAAAGUUAAACCCGACUAUAUGAAUUAUCUCUUCAUGCAAGAUAUCCACAUUAUUUCUCAAUGAGUGACCCAUUAAAUGUUCUAUCUCUUCAUGCAAGGUGUCCACAUCAUUCUCCACUAAAUUUAUGUCAUCUUAUAUUAAUUACAAAAAAUAUCCAUGUCAUCUAUAUCAUGUGAAAUACUUUAAAUAUUUAAUCUAUUAACAUACAAGUCAUCUACAUAUGCUAUUUGUUUGAUCACAUAUGUCUCUAUAAUGUAAUCUAAUAUUCUAUUGUUUUCACUUUUUCUUCUGUUAGCUUAGCAAGUCAAAUUCAUAUACAUGUAUAUACAAUAUACUGAAUACUAUGUAUAUAUAUAAUGAUUUAUUUUUAAGAAACUUUCACAGCAACGCGGGGGGAAUUCAUCUAGUUUAAAAAAAUUAAAACAUAAAUUAUAAAAAAAACUUAAAAAUGUAUUUUUUAUGGGCCUGUUAAGGAAUAGUGGCCUCAACUUGCUGAAGCUGCCCAAGUAGGCAACGUAGAUUGACAUAUGUAGCCAACGUGAACUAGCUAAUGGGCUGGCCCACUUAUUUUCUUAUAAACCUCCACCGGCCUUUGUUGUCCCAUAACCUAGGCAUUCCCCUGACUUCCCCAAUACACCACACGUGACUCCCCCGGCGGCGGCGAAAUCUAGGGCGGAUUGAAUCCUCAUUGCGGCGAGCCGGCGACCAGCAUGUCAAGCGGCAAUCGCAGCCAGGUCACCCCCGCGGGCACGGCUCCAAUAGCAAAGGGCGACAAAGUUGCAGCGUCGACCAGAGGAAAGAAAAAGGCUCAGGUCAACCGUGCCAAGGGGAGCAAAUGGGAGCAGUCCACCUCGUCGAAGAGGAAGGUAAUUGAAAUUUCAAGGCCCUACUUUGAUGUUACCCACGGCUUUGCGUUGUCCGUUGUCCUAUAAUAUGGCUAAAUAAUUUUGCUCUAGACUGUAUGCAUUCACAAGCAUAAUCUCUCUGUUUGAUUGUUUGUAAGUCAUAUCUCUUUCAUUAAUGACCAUUUUAAUUUGUAAUUGAAGGUUCCUGAUGACACUGACGAUGAAGAAUCGUCGGAUGCCUCUUUUGACAUUCAACCAGUCCAGCGAAAUGAUGAACGUGAACGCAUGUUACUGCUCGAAAAAACAAUUGAGGGAGCUAAGAAAGCUGCCAAGUUUACCAUCUAUCGCUAUGCGGACAAGGCCUACAAUAAAGUUGAGGAGUCGUUGGACUUCGUCUAUUUCGCAUAAAUCAGAGCCAAUUGCCAUUGCCACCACCAAAGAAGAAGUCAAAGCUGAACAAACGGCCGUCCGGGAAAAAUUGAAGUGCAUGAUAAUGUGGCAGAUUUAUUUUGGUCAUGUACUAAUGAAGUAGUGCAUGCUAGUUUGUUUGUUUUUUUACAGCAAACAAAUUUUAUUUCAACAGCAUAAAUGGGCUGUAAAAUGGCUGUUAUGCUGUAAGGUGUGGUCAUAGUUACAUUUGUAUUAGUUUGGAUAGACAAAUAAGCUUAUAGCUUGAAAUCAGUGGACUUAAAACUUUAACUGGAAGUUAUAUUGUUAAGCAUUGCUACUUUUUGAUCUUUAUUAUCAGUACUAUUACAUGUCUCCCGCCCGUCAGCAGACGCAUCGCCCGCUCCUUGCCCACGUGUCAUCCUCUCGAAGCAUCAAGCGAUUUAAAAAUUCUCAAAAUAAUAAAAUAAAGUAAACCAAUGCGCGAAGAGCUUGCUGGGGGUAAUUAAUAUGGAUAUUUUAUUUUGUCAAUCAGCUGGCUCGUUGUUGGGCCAGGCCUGUCAACAACCCAGAGUCCCUCUCUCCAUUUCAGUUCCACUCCGUGGCCAUCUUAUCCUAAUUUAUAGGAUCUCAACAACCCAGCGUCCCUCUCUCCAUUUCAGUUCCACUUCCUAAUUUAUAGGAUCUCAACAACCAGCGUCGCUCUCUCCAUUCAGUUCCUAUCGGUGGCACAGUUUCUCUCGACGGCAAUGGCUACACCACUCGGCACCAUGGAUAGCACAGGAGAAAGAAUACAACACAGCAAUUCUUCCACUGCAAAUGGCACCAGGGUUGAAGGUAACUGACAUACAUCUCUACUUCAUAUUAAUUUGAUGUAGUGGUCGAUCCAUCCUAUGAACUCGUCAUGCAUCAUGUAGAGAGCAGCUCUUCUUUUGGUAGUUGAUUUGAAUAUCCUCAAGGCGUCCAUGCCCUUGAUCUUAACAAGUGUUUCAUGCGAAGUACUAUAAUCUGAUUCCUCAAUAUCCGCACCUACAAUGCCUUUGCCAUGCUCUGCAAGCAAAGCUUCAGUAGCGAACAGAAAAUCCCUUCCAGUAGCUGCAUCUCUUCCCAAAGAUCCUCCAAGGUCCUGUGUGUUGAGCUGGAAAUUAACAAUACGUGCAAGAUAAUGAGAAGGGAAGCCAUGAUCCUCUAAAGAGUAUGCUGUCCAAAUAAUCAUUAUGCCUGGUAAACACAAAGUCAUGUUGCUUCCUAGAUAAAUUCCAAUGAAUUGUGCCUUUAUGCUUAAGGACCAUUUCAGGUUGGCAAAGGUGAUACAAAUAACAAAAGAAUGGGGCCUUUAUAUACUUUUAGAAUCCACAUUUUGCAAAGUUGUUUGACUUACAUACCAUGGCAAAGUGCAAUAGUGUAUAUAAACUUGUAUUUUCAGUGAACAUAUGUGGUUAGAUUUUAUAGAAGUAUUUGAUAUGGGUUAUACUGGGUAGUUUGACAUUGAUCUUAGCGUUGUCAUGUAUGAACAACUGAAUGAACCCUGAAAGCACAAACACUUGAUGUAAAAAAGGCACAAUCACUUACCAAAGAGCAGGUAGCGAACGAAAUAAUUGUUGCCUUGCUUCACAAAACCCUGCUGGGAACCAGUGGCAUUAUCUCUAUUUCAACCAUGUCUUCGAAGACAUACUUUGAUGUCUAUAUAAUCCCUCCCUGAAAACACCACCUAAAAUAGCAUUAUAAGCACACACUCAAGGUCUGACAUGCCUAGCAUAGCAAUCUGAUAAAUAUACAAGUGCAGAUUUCAGUUUCAUUUUUCUACAGCUGUGAAAAAUGAACAUUCGAAAAGUUCUACCAGAUUACAACUGUAGCUUUCAAUAUUAAUGUUUCUUAUUCACAUCAUUUGAAGCAGUUCACAGUGGUACCAGGGUUCAUACUGAAAAGGAGCAGGGAGGGACGAAGCAGGUAAUCUCCAUAUCCAACAUCCAAUUCUCAUUUUUGUGCAAAUUAACUGUGCAUUGUUAGCAACUUAUCAUCGACCAAUUGGUUGCUGCAGAAAUAUAUGCAUUUAAUAAACUCAACUGUGAGUUUUGUAAAUGCUACAAAAGACUUAUCAACUGACCACAAGGAUGCUAUUAAGUCUUUGGGAUUUGGGGGGCUGCUUCGUAUGCCAGGGACGUGUCUCAGAAGACAAAUGGUUACGGAUAUUGCAAAGAGAUACCAAAUCAGCAACCAAUGCUUCUCUCUAUGUGGUCAGAAUGUCCCUAUUUAUCUAGAGGAUGUUAGGGACAUAAUGGGACUCCAGAUUGAAGGAAUAGAUGUUUAUGAACAUAUAAACCAAGAGGAGGUCAAAGACGAAGACAAAAAAGUGGACACUGAAUUGAUGAAGAGGUAUGAAGAUGCAGACCACGAAAUCAAGAUAAACAAGUUGAAACAAAUGAUGAGGUCAUCAGCCACUCCGGAUGAUGACUUCAAAAGAAUAUUUGUCUUGUUCACAAUUGGUGUUAUUCUAGCACCAACUGUGAAGCCCUAUGUUAAAGCUAUGUAUCUACCCUUGGUUAGAAAAGUAUCAGACAUUCACAAAUUCAAUUGGGGCCGCUUCACUCUGUCCCAUUUAUUAACCUCAUGUACUAAUUACAUGGUCAAGAAAGGAGCCAACGUACAGGGCAAUCUGACAUUGCUGCAGGUCAGUUCUAUAUGCUAUAACCAUCUAUAAACAAUGUUUACUUUUAUUCUUAUGUAUUUUUUCUUUGUGCUCUUAGUUUUGGUACUGGGAGCGUGUCAUUGCGUACACCAAGUAUGGGAUCAAUUACGAGACAAUCCAACCACCACUGAUGGCGAGGUGGACUGAAGACAAUGCUCGUCUUCGAUGGUAUGCUUUUAACAAGGAACAACUAGAUGGUGGAACUGUAAGUUUUCGAACAUGUCGUCAAUACGCUGCUGUUCAUAAGCAUACAACCUAAAUAUCUUAUUAAUUGUUUCCAGCUUAUGACGCGCCCUACUGGUCAGACCACCCAGCAGCAGACCACACAACCAAAAAAAGUAACAACAGAAACAUCAAUGUCAGAACCAGCGAUAUCACGCGAGGAGGGUCUAAGCAACGAACAAGUAUGUAUGACAUCUAUUUAUGUGCACAACCUUGUUUGUGUGCCUAAUACAUUCUUUCGUAUUUAUGCAGAAACAAUUCCUUGAAGAAUGGGCGAACCACAGUCUCAAACCAGACAUUGCACUAGCAAUGGACAAAAGAACUAUGGACAUAGACCACAAAUAUGAUAGGAAAAUAUUAUCACAAAAUGAGGAGAUAGCUAAGAUUCGAAAGGAGAAAAUAUUAGACACACGACUAGAAGCUAGGGUGAGGAAGAUAGAAGACGAUACCGCAGAAAUGAAAAUGGAAAUCAAGGUAACCAGCGUGAGUACUCAUUUUAGGUUCAUCUGUGCUUCAUUGUCUAACACAAUUUCUCAAAAAAAAGCAAACGAAAGAGACACAAGAACAAAUCCUACAGCUACUGCAAAGUAUUGUUGACCCAUCUACGCCUUUGUGUGCACAACGCCAGCCAUCUACGGCUACAUCUUCGCAAGUUCGGGUAUCUAUGCCUCCAUCUUCACAUAUUCAGGUAUGCAAAUGUGGCUUCAUUUCUUUUUUGAUAUGUUGGAUUCAAUAUUUUGGAAUUUAACAAACAAUACAACUAUAGGAAUCACCACACAUACAAGUUAAGAGGUCACAACCAGGUGGAGCACUUCAUUUCUCCGAUAUACUGGCAAGAAUCAAUGCUGAAGCACACACUGAAACAAAAGUUAAGAUGAAAAAGAACACGCAGCAACACAAUAACCCCUCUUCUCAACACCAAGGUGACACCUCAACACACAUCACGCCAAGAAAGCCAAUUAUCGAGAACGAUUACAAAGUUAGUCCAAUAGACACAGAAGUUGGAUCCUUCGUAGUAAUGAGUUAUGACCACGCUAAGGUUGUACAAAUAGGUGAUCAUGUUCUUACAGCCAAACAGCUACGCCCUACUAUCACAGAUGGCUUCAUAUUCGAUGAGGUAAACUGAUUUCAUAUCCUUUUCUGUCCAUAAUAGCAUGCAAACACCUACCAUAUAAUAAUAAAUCUAUCAUUUGCAGGUCAUAAAUGCGUAUGUUGAUUUCUCCAAUGUGGAGACUGAAGAGUCAUCAUUUAUAACAACUUUCCAAGCCUGGAAGUUGGCUACAAAUAAUCUGGGUGACGAACGCUUCAAGAAGAUAAUUGCCGACAAAUGUGUUCAAAGACAUUUGGUAUGUAAUAUUGAUUUUGUUUGAAGACUUUUAUUUGACAUUUGCAUUCAGGGUAAUAUCUGUGUUUAUUUACUCAAUCUAGUUUUUUCCAAAGUUUUAUCAACUAGGAUGGUCCACUGUAUUUCUAGUAAUCUAUAUUGCAAUUAUUAUUUUCAGGUCUUUGUGCCAAUGAAUAUAAAUAACAACCACUGGGCUCUCCUAGUGCUAAAUUUUAUAAAGAAAGAGGUACAGAUACUUAACUCCUUAUCCGAAAUGCGAGAUGAAAGCAAAGAGAAGGCAUUGGUAAGUGUACCAUAACAUGUACCACCUAUUCACCUAUUUGACAACAAUUAUAGUUCCAUAAAAUUUAACAUCUAUCUCACCAUCCAUUAGGUGCAAAGCAUACAGACAUGCAUAGAAUCUUCGAGAAACGAUGGCUUGGUUAACUUGCGCGUCUAGAAAAGAAUACCUUAUCAUAACAUACCGCAGCAAAAAGACGGGUACUCCUUUUCCCUUUGACUAUAUCAACGUUCUACAUCAAUUACUAAUUCUUAUGUUCUGUUGCAGUCAUUCAUGCGGGGUGUUCAUAAUAUAUUAUAUGAUGGCAUGGGAUGGAGAAAAAAUGGCCUAUCAUUUCACAAAUGUGAGUCUUACAUUCCUUGUUGAUUCCAAAUAUCUGUACACUUAUUCAAUAAUUAUUAUAUGACAGUCCACUAUUUUCGCUUGUAUAGACACAAAUGCAAGGAUUCAAACGGAGAAUAUGCACGAGGUUGCUCCUUUCUGAUCGCAACAUGAGACGCCAACAAUCAUACCAAAAUCCUAUCACGGUCUGAACUUUUUAUUCAUAUUAAAAAUGUUCUAGUUUGAACAGCUCAUACCGGUUCUAACAUUUUUCUUGAUGAUUCUUAGGAAGAAGACUACUAUGCCAAAAAUCCAAACGAACAACGCCAGCACGAAAAUGCUGAAAAUGAAAGCGACGUGCAGAUAGUAGAGAUUGAAACUCCAAGCCCUGAAGCCAGAAUGAAAGGAGAGGAAGGAACUAAAGGAGGAAAAGGAACCAAAGGAACAGGAUCUCAAAAAGAAACAGGAGCUCAAAAUAGGAAAAGAGGACGACCCCCAAAGAGAACUGUUGUCAAUACUCCUAGUGUCGCGGAUGAAUUUAGCAGCGAAACUAUCGUUAAACGAGUUCAACGGACCAAGAUUCCAGGAAAACAACAGACCAGCCCUUAUAGGCCUUUUUAGAGCUAUGUUGUCUAUUUAGUAGGCUAAAUUUAAUCUUUAGUUUGUCUAUAUUGCUACAACAACGAUGGGUGUUAAUACCAAAAUGAGUGAAAUUAGUAGCAAGUAAAGAGUUCAAACUUACAUUGCGUUUGGUUGUCUGAUAAUUUUGAUAACGAGUCCUAAAAGGUACCUGGACUCUCCUUGUCAAUGCAGUAUGGGUAAGUUCACUAUAAAUAUGGGUUACUAAUUUGGCUAUUAGACAUAUACAGUAGCCCAGUGGGAGGGUUCAAAUUACUAAAUGGCACACCUACAUUGCGAUCCAAAAGCUUACAAUAUAACAAUAAAUGACAGAAACUUCAUAUAAGAGGUACUCCAUGACAGUUGCAGAUAGUAAUCCGCAGAUGCUUCUAUAUGAAGGCCCAAUUUAUUGUAGCACUAAUGGACUACACUUAAGCACAGGGAGGGAUCCACCUAACCAGCAAUGAGUUGAUAUGCAAGUAAAAAAACAUGCAUUAACAAUAGUAGUCGGGCACUAGGAUUACCAUGCAGGAAAGCAUCCAGAAGCCCUAAUUGAAUCUUCUAUUUUAAGAAAUAACUGCUCCAGUAUGUUUGCCUGCCAACAGGAUUUAGAAUUCACAUAUGAAGUGGCUUGCUGACUUACAAUAUGACCAAUAAAUGAAACAAAGCACAAAAUAGUUUUACCUUGACAGGAUGAUCAUACAGUGGGCUCAAAUGAGAAAAGAGUGAGAGGGCACACCCUGAGAAAAAAUAUGGGAUGCAUUACAAUUGAUUAUACCAACCUAAUGCUGAAUGAUAAGGAAACAAAAAUAAAAAUAACCACAGAUGAAGUAUCUGAGUGGGAACAAUAAGAAUCAGCAGAAUAUUGACAAUUAUCAGAGUAUAGGCCAAGGCACUUUUGCACAUGAAUAAAGUAUCUGAGUGGAAACAGUAAUAAUCCAUUCAUUCAUAAGAGUACCAAAAGGUAGGUUAUAAAUAUAAUGCCAGUACAAAUAACGUUAUGAAAGGUACACAGAUGCAUGUACUUUCAUAGCACACAAGAAAUCCACUCAUAUUUUCAUAGCACACGGAGGAUCCACAUAUUAUGAUACUGAUAAGGAAGGUCAAUCAAAACUCAAAAGUCAGCAUCAUUUAUUGGGAGUUCACAAAAGCUAGCAUGGCAAUCUAAAGCAAACAUUCUUGCAAAAAGGAAGACUAUGCUUAGCAAGUCAUCAUAUCUCAUUAAUAGACAAUUAAUGCUAGAUAUUUAAAAUUUCACAAGAGAGCUUUUUACAUCCUCAGAGAUAAAAAUUUCAGAAGAGAGCUAUUUACAUCCUAAGAGAAAAACUAUGUUCUAGUCAUUCAGGCGAUGGGAAGUGUUUUUUAGACUAAAUACACUUCAACUGGGGAAGGGUCCCAUGCUCUCGUGAAUCACAUAGGUGCUUUUAUUUUCCUGGUAAAUGAUAGUGUAUUCAAUCACAAAUGCUUUCUCCAACUUCCAUACUGAUAGUGCUUGCAUUGUGAUGUCAAAUAAUUCUAAUGAGUUCAAUCAACCAAAUAGAGGUUAACACAUUCAUGCCAAUACAAUACCGAUUGUUGAAUCAACCAUGCAAUGAAGUCAGAAAUUGCUUUUUCGACCUGUAGCAGUAACUACAGCCACACUCAAUGAACUACACGAAUCGUUGUAUGUACCUGGAUCAGAGAGAGGUUGCUGUUGACGAACUGGGCGACCGUCUUCUUCCUGGCCGCGAGCUUCUGGCAGACCUCGUCGUCCUGGAGCGAGCUGUGGAUCUUGGCCCAGAUCUGCGAGUCCUCGACCCUACUCUGCAGCCAGAUGAAGUACCCCGAGGUGGUACUCCUUGUACGCCCUGCCGGAGACGACCCGCCCGGCCGCACCCUCCUAGCAGCUGGGACGGCCGCCGACGCCGCAAACAGGAGCACAAACGCCUCCUCGCCUGAAUGUCACCUCCUCCACCCCCUUCGCCGGAUCUAUCGCGCACUGCCGCAGCCCUACCUCGCCCUCUCCCUCGCCUCCUCCACCUCAGACGGCCAUGUCCGCGAGCGCACCUUGCCGCCGCGCGCCAACUGGAGCACGGACGCCGUCGGGCCCAUUCUCGCCUCCAACGCUAUGCCGCGGUUCGCAGGGAUCUGAUGACGGAUUGCGUGCCCUGGCCGCCGCAGCGCCAACCUUGCGCCGGCCCUCGCUCUGGCGGCCGGCGCCGUCGGAGCACAGACUUGGUGAGGACGGAGAAGAGAGACGAGAGUGGCUGAUGAUGUGGUCACGAUCUGAGAAAUAUCUAUACUACUUUAGUCGUCCUUAUACUAAUCAUACAUUGUUUUUCUAUUAUACAUUUACUAUUCUAUCCUUCAUUAUAUAAAAAAAAUUCAAAAAUAGAAUUAUCUCAUCUUUUUUUUAAGGACUGAUCCCACCAAUUUUAGUAAGCACUCAGUGCAUAUGGUCCCACCAUUUACUAUGCACUUAGUGCCUCUUCAAUUGGUUCCUCUUGGUUCCUCUACCUUUUUAGCCGUCGGAUCGGUGCUUAUGAGCCGUCUAUUUUUCGACAACCAUCGUAAAAAUUCUCAUAUUCCUUAAUCAGAAGAACGAUAAGUUUUCGGUGGUUGUGGGUCAGCAUCCACGGUGUAUACUAUUGUUUGGGCACCUCUAGCUAGUAGAGCAAGAGGGUGAGGUAUCGAGCCUUAAUAAAUAUCAUAUCAUCAUGUAUGUUUUAUAUUGAGGAUUUUUUUUAUUCAUUCAUAUAUUAAUAUCGUCUCUUCUGUCAAAGCUAAGAGAGAGAGUGGAGUUUAGCUCUUCUCUCCCCGGCCGCCAGUUCAAAGGUGACAACUCUGGUGGUAUAUUUCUCUGCGUAACCACACUUUCCCUUCACUGAUCACUCAGAGAAAAGCCGGCGUCCAAGAAAAGUGAUCUUACAGCUGAUGACCACUGGAAGAGUACGUGGCCUUAUGUUCAUGUGGGAGAAAUUUAUGUACUGUACGUGUAGACCCUUGCCACUUGGUUUCCCUUUUUCUACAGUAACACAGUUUUCAAGUUCUGUCGUCUUAUUUGUAAUUACAUUAUCUGAAGUACAUAGACAGUACUGUACGGGUUAUAGUAUAUUUGAAGAUGCAUGCACGGGCAUUUAAGGAGAGAGAGGCAUAUUGAUUAACAAGCACCGCUAUAUAGCAAACCAUUAACUAUCCGAACAAGUAGGUCGAUCCAAGCCACUGAACAGUCAACAGUGUAGUAGCUGUUCACACACACACAUCAUCCGCAUACAUGCAUGAGCACAUGAUCGAGAAGCUAGCUAGGUCGCACUGCAAGCCACACAUACAUAUAUAUAUAUCCAUGUAUAUGUGCACAGUGCAUGAUGCACACGGUUACAUAAUACUAUAUAGAUACAGCAUGCUAUUAAUCCUCCUGUAUGUUACCACACAACUUUAUUUUAUUUUUCCUGGCUUGCUAGCUUCAUCACGUGCACUGGUAUGUACUUACGUGGUAGAUUUCAUCAUUUAGCUGACCCUGCAUGCGCCAAAGAAUAUAGUUGAGAAAGAUAUAUAUAUAUAUAUAUAUAUAUAUAUAUAUAUAUAUAUAUAUAUAUAUAUAUAUAUAUAUAUAUAUAUAUAUAUAUAUAUAUAUAUAUAUAUAUAUAUAUACAUGAUGUGCAAGAGAUGAUGGCAGAGAUGGACCAGAGAUAAUAACUAUAUAUACGUACUUGUUGCAGUCGGUGGACAUGCUGAUGGGGAAAGGCACGGAGACGCCGCACUUGCCGGGGAUGGUGGCGACGGUGCCCAUGUUGACGCUCUUGACGCUGUUGGCGAGGCUCUUGAGGCACCGGCACGCCGCCUGCCGGUCCGAGCUGCUGCGCGCCUGCCCGUUCAGGCUCCGCACGCCGCUGCAGCACGACGACGGCAGCGCGCUCGCCCUCCCCGUCGCGUACGGGAUGCACGGCGCCAGCGCCGUCCCCACCUGACCGCAGGUGAUCGCCGCCGACGCAGACGACGCCGACGCCAGCAGCAGCGCCACCACCACGGCCACUGCUGCCACCAUCGUCGACGUCUUCCUGUUCACCACAGCCAUCGUCGCCGUCAGUUUGAGACGUGUGUGAGUGUGUGUGGUUGAUGACUGUGCUGUGCUUGCUUGCUGCGGAAUGAGCAUGGUUUGGACGGGUUUAAAUAGAGCGAGCGCGCGAGGGACCUAUGGCUAUAGGCAUGUUUAGUUCACUUCAAAAUCCGACGAAUAAUCUUUUAAAUUUAGUUAGUCUAUAUUGUAUAAUAAUUGUUAAAUACAAACGAAAAUAUUACCGUAACCAAAUUAAAAAACUUCAACAACUAAAUUAAACAAGGCCUGUGACGAUGGCAAACACACAGUAGUACUGCUAGCUCCAUCUCGCAUGAAUGUAUAUGCAUUGAAUGAGGAAUUCAAGAACGUCGCUGCUAGGUCGUUGGCAGUUGGACUAGCUGUGGACCUGUCUUAUUAGUGCUGUGAUUUUCAUUUCAUUAUUAUACUCGAUCCUAGUAUAUGUUUACCCAGCUGAUCAUCUCGACUGGUCUCCGUCAAGCAAAGUCCAAUUGCAAGUCCAACUCUGUGGAAAAUGUUUAUAUCAGACAAAAUUCGUUAACCAACUACAGUUGCGUUUCAGAGCAUGCAAACACAAACAGCUAGCUAGUAAAUAGCUAAGAGAAUUUCUUUCUUGAGAUUGAUUUCCCCUCUCUUCAAGGCAAAUAUACUGUGUCUCCGGAAUGAUCACGUACGACGGCAACUGAGCUUUCUUGCUGUUGGGACUUGAUUGCUAGCUAGCUAUACGUGUGGCGUGUUCUGCGGUUCCCUGACGAAGCGGGCACCUCAACAGUACUAAGGCAGCUCCAACAAUAAUUAAAAUAGCUACCUGAGAGCAUCUGUGAGAAUUUUUAAGAAUUUCUUCCCAAAAAUUGUAGAGUUUUCGAACUCGCUAAAAAGUACUGGAAGGAAUAAAUAAGAUCAUCUUCAACGGUUUCCAAUAGUUCACUUCUGAAAUAGAAAAGAGAAUUUUACAUCAAUAAUCCUAUACUAUAUAUAUCUAAAUUAUUCUAUCAACUUUUGUAUAUUCUCUCUUGUAUAUGUACAUUAAGAACCCUGUUUUUACUCUUUAUUCUUUUCCUACCCUUCUACUUUUAGAUUGGUCGAAGCAUACGGAUGUUUGGAUGAAGAUACAUGUGACCUGGAGUCUAUGCAUCGUUACACGUAAAGAGAGGUUUUUUUCUCAAGUGCCAAAAGAUUAGGAGAUGACUUGAGAGUUGUUGGAGAUAGAUUUUUUUUAUUCUUCCAAAAAAACAUGGGUUGGGAAAGAUUAUAGAUACUUUUAGGGAUACUCUGAUAUUGUAUUUAGUCCAUAGAAAAGAGAGAAUAAUAAAAAACAACUAGAUAUCCCUUUAUGAAAAGCUAAGCUCGUAUAGCUUUCUAUGAUUAAUAUGUCUUGCUAAGUUGCUCACAUGUUUUCUAUAUGAAGAGCAAGGCUAACAAUAUAGUCGGCUAGUGGCCUUGGUUUUUUACAGCAUUUCUACACAUAUAGUAGUUAGCUCUCAAUAUUAAUACAUAGUCCAUCUGUCUCUCUCAUAAAAUUUCUUAGAUCUUGUGUCUAACCUAGUUGUAACCUAGUUGUAAGCUUACAACCCACUACUCUUCUCUCUCGCGCUCGUCGAUCUCCUGUCCUCCACGUCAGCAUUUACCCAGCUUACAGCCUGCUAUUAUACUUGCGCUAAGUAUAUAUUCUAAGUUCUAUUUUUAUAUACCUCUUAUCUCUCUCGCCUUUCCUCUCCCAGGAUCUCUCACUUUCGUUCUCCCACCCAAGCUCGGAUCUCCUUAUUGUUGCCCUAGUGCUCUCUCUCGUCCACUCUCUCCCCAUAUGUAGAGGGAUACUACUCGUGCUCGUGUUAAGGAGCAGAGUGGGGUGAGUAAUGGCGGUAGCCAAAGGGGCGAGAAUCAGCAGUGGCAGCCUCCAAGCAGACCGGGGAGUACAGAUCAGAAUUUAAAAAAUAACUUCUCAAAAUGUGAGAAUAACAUCCUUUCGGAACGGAAGAUGUGUACAUGUGUGGCAUGUUCUGCGAUACCUGAAGAAGCGGUACCUCAACAGUGAGUGAAGAUUCAAGGAUAUAUACAGAUGAUAUAUACGUAGUAAAUAACUAGUACUUGCCACUAUAAAGCGAUUUCCUACAGUACUAUUUAACAUUGAAUUAUUGUCAGCGGAUGUACACAUUACAUAGGAUAUUUAUUUCACUACUUUUUCUCUAAAAAAUAGCGGCCAUCGUGAGUCGUCGAUCGAUGAUACAUGUCCUACUACAAUACGCAAUGCAAACUGAAGUUGAGGCAAUACUAAAUUACAAGUAGUUUUCAACCGUUUCAUGUGCACAUUACGAAGUAAAUUUUUUUUAUGGAUUUUGCUACAGGACACUAUUCUUUCGUGAGAUUAAAAAAAUUUUUUGACGGGUUCUAAAAUUUUGCUACAAGACACUAUUCUUUCGUGAAAUUACGGUGUCCUAUAGCAAAGAAAAAUUAGUGUCCCAGAAAAAAUAUUCCAGUGUCCUAUAGCCAAUUAAUUUCGCAUAAACAGAGUGUCCCACAGCAAAAAAUUUCAAAAUGUUAUUUCCUUGGUGGUAGUAGAAGAAAUAGUGAAACUACCUUCUUAUUGGAUCUAACAUACAUAGUACAUAAUAUAACAUUCCUAUUCAAUGUAACGUCACAUGCGGAUAAAAUCAAAAGUGUCUUUCUUCUAACAUAAAAAAAAAUCUAGAGAUGUAGCAUUUUUUAUCAAAACGGAACGUGAUCCAUAACAUUUUCAAACGAUGACCUGCAACGAAUUUUUUACGUGAAAGAAAAACUUCCAUCAGUGUGACAACUUUGGAAAAAAAUGUAUUUAACUGCUCUAUCAUAUAUACUUGACAAACUUUCUACGUACAUAAAUAAGAUGCCUAGAAUCCUAUCAUGCAUGAAAGUUGUUUAGAUGUAACGAAAGGAUGGAAGCAGUGUAGUUCUUGUUCUUCACAGUUCUUUUUUUUUUGCGAAGGAAGAUGGUUAUAUUAAAACUCGGUAUAAAACAUCCCCAAAUUACACAUAAAAAAUACAUAAUAUUCUAUCCAAAUUCUUCCAUCGUCUUCUUCCCCUUCACAAACGUUGGAACCAAAGUGCAGUCCUUAUCCUGAAUCCAAUGACCAACCCAAAAUAUUGGACACAUGCCACAAAAUCCACGCUUCGGAACCAAUCCAAAGUGCAUCUCAAUCGAUAAAAAAAAUAUUGGCAGUUGAAUCGUCAGGUACAAGGUGCAUCCGGUACAAGGUGCAGAUUCAUCAUCUCAAAAUCUUGGCUUUCUCUCCGUGACCAUUGACGAUGAAAUCGACGUCCCAAUAGUCCCUGUUGGGAACGCCCAAAAGUACCCCCUCCCUUUUGCAGAUGAAAUCGACGCCUGCAAUGGCGAUCUCUUCUCAUCAUAGGCAACAUGAUCUCGACUAAAAAUCAUUUGAUUUUGCUAAAAAAUAUUUUGACUAAACCUUAAGCAACUAGAAAUAAAACUGCAUGAAAAAAAUGGUCCACUCCCAUCUUAUCUCUGACAAACGCAUUGGAGAGAAAGAAAGAGAGAGACCCUAGGCAGGAAGGAGGUGGCGGCGGUAGCGAGAAGGAGGCAUUUUCAGGCGGCGCUUGUUGUUCCCAUUUCUUAUCCUCGAUUCGGCGUUAGGAAUGAAUUUGGCUUUAUAGUUUUAUUAUGCUCUUGCUUUACUGCUCAAACUUACUCAUGAAAACAGAAAUAGAAAAAAAAAAGAAAAAAAAAACGUGUGUGCAUGUGCGUUCUUGUUGACCACAAGGAAGAAGCCGGAUUUCUUCUGUCUACUUGAUCAUCAUGUCGGUGCAAACCCGGAAGGAGGGGACAAAGAUAUUCAUUGCGUUAGUGAUGCUGAGAUUUUUUAUAUUUAGAUUAUUUUAUUUAUAUUUUAUUUAAAAAAAUCAAGGGCUGUGAUUUCUUUAAGGUAUUUACCUCCUAAAAGAUAAGGGAGUACCACACAGCAAUAAUGUCCUAUAUAUACAUACAUGCAAACUAGCUCAUUGUCCUCUAUGAACACAGCGCAACAUUUUAUUCUUAGGGGACACUUUCGAAAGAUAAAUUAUAGAAGAGUAAAAUGCACCAUUAAUUAGUCCAACAACUUGUCCGUUUGUGUCACUAUGAUCCAUUAACUUUGAAAAUGUAUUUUUGAGUCUAAACCAUGGCCCCAGCCUCGGCCGCCACAGGCAAGCAUGAGCCUUGGCCCUAGCCUAACCAUGAAGCUUCUCACCAUGCCCAGGUCAUUUGGGUGCUUCCCUCUUCCUCUUCUUGCUUGAUCUAGAUUCACCUUGAUGCCAUGGACCUUAUCAGCUUCUCUGUUUUGUCAGUGGAUCAUCGGAGCCACCAUGACGCCAGUUCAAGCCACCACGCUCAUCUUCAAUGCCAGCAGCGGCAACGGUGAUGCCUUCUUCCCCGCGCACACGCGGUGGUGGGGGCUUGCAUACACGCUCUCAUGGCUGCGGCGGCGGCUCUCCCGCAUGCCUGCCUGUGCCCGCCUAUUCGUGCACCUGCAUGCUGUGGUGGCAGUGGGUUGUCCACGCUUUCCUGCAAGCCAUAGUGGGUUGAAGUGGGAAAGGGAGAGAAAGAUAGGGGGUAUCGGUAAAAAAAUAUGGGCCACUUUGCUCUCACAUGACAUAGAUGCCAUGCUAGCUGAUGACAUGGUUUACCACGUUAGAUCUAUUUGUGAAACCAAGGGGCAUAGACUAUUUAUGCACCACUUAAAAACGUCUUGGACCAAGAAAAUACACUUUCAAAGUUGACAGACCUGACAUAGACGAACAAGUUGGUGGACUAAUAGUGCAUUUUACUCGUUAUAGAAUAUUUUAAAAAAUGCAACAAGUGAAAGAAUCUAGCUACAUGAGUUACACACAAUUUACUAUGGAGCAACUAACAUAGGUACUAAUUACUUGUUCGCUGGUCUAAAAAAGUCAUGACUGAAAAUACUAUUCGUUGAUUUAUUAUAAGAGAAAAAAAUACUAUUUACUUGCAGAAAAAAUACGGCUUAUAUAAAACAAACGAACAAGCUGCGAGGUUGCUAGACAGAAGAGGUCAAGCAAGUGUCGUCUUCUCGAUGGCCGAUCAAUUCAUUUAUCGUCAAUAGUACGGCUCUGUAGAUGGCAGAGACUAUAGUCUAUAGCCAGGUUACCCCCGCGAGAUCACGAUCGAUCCAUCAUUCCGAUGCUACCAAAUCAUCAUGGCUCUCUCCGAUACGUAACCCGUGGAUGCUUCUCAGCCACGACCUUCAUCAUCUCUUCCAUCACAUCCAACCAACUUGACAUCAUGUGCAUAUAUAUGAUCGAUGCUAGUGUGUCUGGCGCCGUAUAAUUGGUUGGCCCGUUAUUAAUUAAUCUUCAAAUUAGUUUAGCCAUGUGACGAAAUUAAAACAGCUCAUCAAGAAUUAAAUCUUCGUGUUGGUGAUUGAAAAAUAAUAGAAAGACUCUCCUACAAAUUACCAGCAGGCUAAUUGGCCGGUACUAGGAGUUAAAAAAAAAUACAUGGGUCAUGCUCAUCUGCUGCAGCUAGCACAGUGCUUGUGUGAGACACUAACAGCCGCAGCUGAACAGCUGUGCCGAACAGGGCCAACACCCAUGUGCGUAGGCCGUCAUUUUUCAUCAACAAUAUAAGUCACGAGUUCCAUGAUUCUAAAUAGUCUGCACAGGGCACAGCACUGUCUCACUAGCAUAGAUGAGAUUAAAAGAGAUGGUCCAAAUAGGUUUCUAAAGUGGCAGUGGUAUACAUGUUAAUCAGAGACGGGCACACAUGCCCACCUAUAUAUAUAAUAAAAAAAAGAAAAAGGGGCACCAUCGAGCCUGUCUUGCAAGUCCGUUGCCGAGCCCGCAAUACGACACAUGUGGAUAUAUAGGACAUCAUAUGCCCACAUGUUGAUGCUAUUAGACACCGCUAGAUUGGAGACUGGUGUCAUGACUUUGUGCUACUGCUGGAAAGGAACCCCCAUGUUGUGCGGGAAGGAGAGUUCGCCAGAUCCAAUAUGCGCCAAAGCAUGGACCUCACUGGGCUUGAUGCCUCUAUGAGGUGCCUCAACCCUAUUGCGAAAUGUGAGAAUAGAAGACAUAUGGAGGGAGUUGAGGAAGAGGAGAGAAAUGAUAGGGUGCGUCUUUGUGGGAGCAAAUAGAGGAGCAGUUGUGCGGCUAAGAUAGUGAUGGGCGACUUUAGGGUUGUGCAUUGCAGCCUACCAUGGAGUAGAGUUUUCUUAUCGAGCCUUAGCCUUAUUAAUACAACCAAGUCUUUUAGUAGAUUCACCUCUAAAAUAUAUUUGUUAAUAGAUUUAUAGAGACAACACUAUUUCCUAAAAUAUGUCACACACCUCUAAAUUUGUUUAGCUAUUUUUGGAGACGCCAAUGUUUUAAGAUAGCCCCUAUAAACAACAUGAGUUGUCUUCUAGAACCGUUUUUGUGAUAUUGUGUUCUGGCUUUUCAAAGAACAAGUUAUAAUAUCGCGAAUUGUUCAGCUAUUGCAGCUAUAAGGACAUUUUAACUUUGUUAAGAAUAGCUUGGCUUAGCUAUGAUUUUUUAGUGCCACUAAUCCUGAUUAUUAGGCAAAUAUUCAUUCUUUACUCUAGCUAAUUAUAUUAUAUGCCUCGCCCUUGUGUUAUUUACUUAAUAUAAUAAAUAUUGUAAUAAAAAAUUGAAAAACUAUUGAGUUGUUUAUUAUUGAAUGUUGAAUGUCUAUUAGUGUUGAUUAUAGAGUAGAUGCAUCUCUGUGUUUUUUUUUUUUGUAAUUGAUGAUUUUUUUUACCACACAUGUAGUUCAUAUUUCUAGUUAUUCUGAAUAAAGUUAAACACCCUAGUGGGCCACGGCAAAAGAAGAGCUCACAACUCAGAAGUGUGAAGACUUGGUCUAAUCUGUAAUCACAGGUAACAGUUUCAAAAAAAGAAGUAAUCACAGGUAACUUGGGCUCACUGAUCACUUGGCCCAUAUGUUAGUUGUGAAUACGACCAGGCCUCACGGCUCAGGUGGCACCAGUCCAGAAGCUUGGUCCACGAACGGCCUAGCAGAUCAGUCACCGGAAAUCUCGACUUGGGCCACGUUCACAUCAGCUAGCCAAGCAAUGACGGCCCGUCAUGUUAAAAUUCAUUACACUUUGUAAAAUCAAUACCUCUAGUAUUCGAAUAUUCACUUUGCGAGAAGCUGCUAAAGCUAGAGUGAGGUUAAAGAUGGCAGGGCUAGUCGCGAUCUUGUGAUAACCAAUCCAAUUUGAGACAAUAAAACUAAACACUAAGUAGUACCGCUUGGCAACCUAAGGCCCAAUUAAGGUUCCAGUCUCUCCGUUCUGCUCAGCCUCACCCUGUUCGCUUGAGCUUAUCUAUUAAAUCUGUCAACUAUUUAGGAAUAUUUUUCUUUCAUAAGAAAUAAGCGAACAAUACUUUUAGACAUGACCUUUCAGCCAAGCAAACAGGGUAGCUUGCAUUAGACGGAGGGGGCGGUGGGGUCGCAGCUCGCGAGUGCACGAUGAGCAAGCAACCACAUCUUCACUUCCAUAGAUUCAAACUAAACAUGUAGAAAUCAUUCAAUGAGAGUUUCAUUCAAGACUAUGCAGACCGCUUAGAAGAAUUGUUACUCCAAGAACUUCUCAAGCCUUUGAUGGGGUUAAAAGGUUAGGUCCACUAGGACUCUUCGGCAAAGGUUUCUUUGUCUCUUCUUUAAAAAUUUUCCUGUUUGGUUGUUGGCAUUGUUAUCUUGUGGCUGUGCUGAUUUGCAAGUUGGGUGGUGUUGUUAGAGUUUGUCCUAGUCGUCAUAGUUCUUUGUUUCCUAUUGUAACCUCCUUUGAGGACGCCAUUUGCUCACUUUGGGUCUUCUUCUUUAUCAACAUAAUUGGUAAUGCCUCUGUCCGGUCCAUUUAAAAAAAAAUCAUUCAAUAGUCAAAGUUUCAAAAGGAUUGACGUAAGACUAACUGAAAAUGCAUGGUAUUUAAUUAAUUAUUUGUAGUCAAUGAUGUCUUUGAAAUGAUUGACCUACGACAACUUCAAAAUGUCACUUAGUUGGAGUAUAUACUUUUGGCAAGUUUCCCUCCAUCCGAAAAUAUUAAACACAUUUUUGUAGGACAGCAAUGAGUUGAACAAGUAGCUUCUCCACUAAUAUGUAUAAAUCAUAUAUAGGUACAUUUGAAUACAAAUCUUUUUUUGUGAAAUCUUUUGAAUACAAAUCUAGCUAGUUACACCAAUUUUGUACCACAAAAUUUUAAGUAUAGGUCAAAGCCAAGUCUAACAAAACAUGAGUUUUGGCAUGGAGGAAAUAUUCACAGGUGCGUUUAGUAUUAACUAUAGAUCUCUUCUGAAACUAUAGAUCCCCCUACUGUUUUCUAGUUUUGUUUUGUAUUUGUUCAGAUGAAUUUUGAAUUGUUUAAAGACUAUAGCAUGUCGUCAUAUAUCAGGGCAUAGUUGUUCUCGUUUCCACCGUGCGAGUAUUUUUUUUCAAGUGGCGAGUUGAUUAAAACCAUUUUAUCAUUAUUUCUUAAAUCUCAGUCCCAUCUUCAAGUCCUCGAGUCUGCAGUCCAGUUGCAUUACUGACCAAGUGUUUGGGAGAGGUAUAGUCUUGACCAAGAGUUGUUUGGGUAGUAAGCACUUAAAACAAAAUUGGUAAAACUAAUGAUAGUUUUGUGAUAGUCCCAUCUUCGAAUCCUCGAGUCUACAACCCAGUUUUUCGUUAGGUACAUACUACUUCCUCUAUUUUACAAAUUUAUAAAAACUUUAUAGCAUUUUAGUUCAGUUUUGAUAUCUAAAUCUUUAAUGUGAAACGAGCUAAGGUUUAGAGCUAACAUUAGAUCACCUAUUUGGAGACUUUAGCUCUAUAGUUUAGAUGAGUGAAUUCAAAAUAGAUCCUUAUAAAAUUGGUAAAACGCAUGUUGCAGAUAUAUAGUGAACGAAGCAUAGAAAGUCAUGGAGGAACACACAUAAGUCACAUCAUGCAUAUGGCGCAUGCAUGCAUAACACAAUUUGCAAACAAAAAGAUGUGUGUAUCAUAAGGUAGCAACAGUGAACAUAGUACAAACCGGGAUCUCCUCCAAAAUCGUACGAAGACGGAUCGGAGGAGCAAAGGACAUGAACGGUUCCUCUCUCUCUCACGUACACACACACAUGUUGACGUACACGCUACACAGGCGUAUCACAGCGUAGUACACGACGACACGUACGGACGGAGAGAUUUUAUUCAGUAUAGUACGUAACAGUAGGCAACUCAUCAUCAUCAUCCAUGCGUAGAUAUAGAUCGAUACUCAUGGAGUCAUGAUCGAUGCUCCGGCGCCGAUCGACGACGGCGGAAAUGGAUCAUCGAUCGAUCAGGCGGCCGCCGCCGCCGUCGUCGUCUAGCUAGGUUUAGUUCACCCUGCAUGAUCAUUCAUGGAAAUGGGAAAAAAAAAAACACACAAAUUAGACGACGUGCGUGCGUACUUGUUGAUCGAGUCAGUACAUGCAUGCAAAAGUAGUAAAAUAUACUGUUACGUACUAUACUGAAUAAAAAAGCCAAUUCAUUCAGAUGAUCGAUGACUUGGCUUAGAUCUUACGGUAGGGUCGGUCGUACUCGUACGUACCUGGAGCAGUCGAUGGAGGCGCUGAUGGUGUAGGGGAUGUUGACGCCGCACUUGGAGGGGAUGCUGGCGGCGUUGCCGGCGUUGAGGCCGCUGACACGUCCGGCGGCGCUCUUGAGGCAGUUGCAGGCGGUGCGCUUGUCGGCGGUGCUGCUGGCGGCGGAGUUGAGGCUCCUGACGCCGCUGCAGCAGGCCGCGGAGGGUGCGGUGCCGGUGCCGCGGGCGUAGGCGAGGCAGGGGCUAAUCGCGGAGUUCACCUGCCCGCAGGUGACGGCGGCCUCCGACGUCGUCGUCGCCGCUGCCAGCAGCACCGCGGCCACGACGACGGCGAUCAUCGCCACAGCAAACUGCAUGCUGCGUGCCAUGUCGAUCGAUCGAGCUAUUCGUGUGUGCUGAGUGAUCUGAGUGCCUGACUGUGUGCUAGUAUGCUAGCUUUGGAAUGCAGUGAGAGCAAGUGCUAGCUGGUGAGGAGAAUAUGCAGUGAAAUGUUGGUCCUUAAAUAGGCUUGAGAUCGAUCUGAGAGCUACAAUGGCUGAUGACAGAUGUCAUGCAUGGUGUGUGCAUGCUGUUUCUUUCGGUAGAACAUCAUCAUCGUACAGUUAAGAGCCGGGCAGGAGGAGGUGGUUGGGUGUUGGGGGCAGGAGGCAGAUGGAGGAUGUGGAUGGAAAUACACAUAUGCAGUGGUUAGUGGAUGCAGAGUGAAUUCAUCAUCAGCAGCAGCAGCAGCAGCAAACUUAAUAAAUAGCAGCCGCCUAACACGACUUAAUAAUAAAUUAAACAGUUAAGCGUCAUUUAAUCUCAUCACCCGCCUCACUGAUUAAUCGAAUGAGGCCUUGUUUAGUUCACCCCAAAAUCCAAAAAUUUUUCAAGAUUCACUGUCACAUCGAAUCUUGGGGCACAUGCAUGGAGCACUAAAUAUAAACAAAAAUAAAAACUAAUUGCACAGUUUAUCUGUAAAUCACGAGAUGAAUCUUUUAAGCCUAGUUACUCUAUAAUUGGACAAUGUUUGUCAAAUAAAAACGAAAAUGCUACAGUUCCAAAAACCAAAAUGUUUUCGGAACUAAACAAUAUAUAGCCUCCCACAGGCUCACAAAAUCUGAGAACUCACCUAUAUGUGGCCAAUUCAUCUAACAUAGCCUUUUGGACCGUGUAUUUUUUCCUUCGAGUCUUUUGAUGUAACAGCGGUUCAAUUGCCUUGACCGAUGUUCCAUUGAUCCAAUUCGAUGUCACGAAAGAGGCUAUAUUUUUUACAUUGCCUGUGGUGACUAUAUAUAGUUAAUGAAUUGAAGAGCUUGUGAUCAGAUUUGUCACAAGGAAUCUCCGUAUUGCUCCACGCUCUUUCCUUUUGUUUCUACUUAAACCAUAGCCGUCAUCUCAAUUGGACAAUCCCUUCGCCUUGGGAAGGGCGUGGUGGUGGACUAGUUGAUCAACGAAUGUCCUCCAAUGAUGUUCUCAAGUGGUAUUUCUCCUCGCCAAAGAAAAUUACGCCACAUCCUGUCUAUUCUUUUGAGCCUGGAACACUAUCAAAUGGUAUAUUAUUGGCAGCGUCAUUAGAAUCAUUUCUGUACUGGUGUUUCUCUAUUAGAUGUUGGCAGGAAUUUUCCUUUCCACCCCGGGAGCCUGGCACCAAAAUCUUUUCUAUCAGUGGCUAGACCUCCCUCCUUUCUUAAUUUCCGGGUAUAUGUAAUUGAAGCCCUAAAUAUUUUCCCUGGGAAGUUGUGGAUGAGCGAAGGGACCAUGUUAGGUUGGAGCCAUAUUGGAAAAAAAAAAUAGUCUUGGACAUGUUAAUUUUUAGCCCUGAACAAUUUCCAAAGAAAUGUAGGAAUUUUGUAAGCUGCUCAACUGCUCUGAAGAUGGGUUUGCAAACAAACCCACAUUUUAUUUGUGUAGAGAGAGCACCACAAGUUUGCUGCUUCCGGUACAACCAGUUGUAGGAUAUCCUGUUGUGCCGCUCAUAUUCAAUGAUUUGUUGGUAGCGGGUCUACUGCUAACAUGCAUGAAAAGUAGGGGCCGGGAAAGCGGAUUGCUUUGCCUCAAUCCUCUUGCAUGUUUGAUGUUUUGACUCGAUCAUCUAUUUAUGAGAAUUUUGGAUGAGAAGGACCCUAAGUUUCUUUGAUAUCCAAUUAGGUCAUUUUGUGCUAAAACCAAGCGCAGUUAGAAAUUCCAGAAGGUGUGCCAUUCUAUGGAGUCGAAAGCUUUGGAGAUGUCCAGUUUUAUAAAUAGAUCGAGUGAGCUGAUUUUUUUCUGUAGAAGUUGAAUACUCUUUGUACAUAAAGAAAAUUGCCCCUUUUAUUGAUGAAUGCAUUUUGAGCAUGUGAAACCAACUCAUUCAUAUAUGGAGCUAGUCUAUUUGCAAAGAUUUUCGUAAUGAUUUUUAUGAGGCUGUUAAUUAGGCUAAUCAGUCUCUAUACUCAAACAUUGUUUGUGCUUCCUACUUCUUAGGGAGUAGAACUAUACUUGCUUCAUUAAACAACUGCAUUUUUGCAGUCCUAUGGUUGUCGUUCUUGAUUAUAUCCCAACUCUUCUUAUAGAAGAUCCCGAUAAGACCAACUAGUCCUGGGGCUUUCUACGACGGAAGCUCCUUGAUUAUGGUAAGUAGCUCCUGCUCUGUAAAUGGCAUGUCUAGUUCAUCAAGGUUAUGUGGAGAGUAACCCAACGUCUCCCAAUUGAUUGACUAUAUGUUCUUGUAGCUCUUGUUCCCUGGCUUUGGCGAAGAACUCAACAGGGGACCUCUGUUCCCACGUUGGGAAAUUGCGACCCUCUCCUCAAUGUGAAUUGUGCUUAUAUAUUUUUCCUUCGUCUAGCGUUUGCAUGUAGUUGGGAAAAAUGAGUAUUAGUAUCAUCAUUCCAUAUUUAGCUAGGUCAGUCAAAAGUGUUGUCUCGCCUUUGCUUUCUGUAUUGCGAUUAGACCCAUUGAUUUUGCCUUAAGAUAUUUCUUGAAUUCCACUUCUUCUAUUGUCAGGGGACGUCUUUUCUGUGCCUUCUCUAGCUCUCUAUAGGAUGAUGUGAAGGACGUCAUUCCCUAGUUUCCAUUCAGUAAACAGUGUAUGCUUCCAUACUUUUAACGCUCUUGCCAUGCGGAGGAGCUUGGUGUUUACUGUCUGUUCCCAUGUUGAACCAUCUAUAUAAACCCCAGCAUAUUUACCCAAUAGUAAAAAUGGAAACCAUGGCAAAAUUCAAAAGUAAUAUCCUCUACAAGAGCAAAAGACCAUGGUCCCAUUAUUUUGCUAUGUGAGCCCACUCCUCUUAUUUUUCACCUUUAUUUUGAUUAUGCUACUCAAGUGUUGUAUCUGACUUUUAUUUUUUGACUUGGCUUACUCCUCUUAAGAUGUCAUUUGUUCCAAAUCCUUAAUGUUGGAAGUGGUUAGAAUUCCUCUAGUAGCGGAGGUCAGUCGAGCCUACUCGCUCGCUGCAGCGAGAGGCUUGAGUGUGCUAACAAUCAAGGAAGAGAGAGCUCGAAACCCUAGAACAGUAGUGUUUCAGUAAAUUGGUUUCAACUAACUCUUGAAAGAGCAUUUAUAACCCCUUUAUAUAGGGUGCGGAUCCCAACCGAGAUCCGUUACAGCAAUGCCCCAUGACGGUGGCGGGAUAUUCCAGCAUAUUUCGCCACUACAAUCUAUAACCCACAGGGCUACUUGAGUAAUUUCGAACUGCAAGCUCUUUGCAGGCUGUCGCGUCGGAGUCCUGGUCCUAUCGUAGCUCGAUCCUUCUCCUAUCCUUCGUCGAGGCUCAUAGAUCCUCCGCCUUGCGGCCGACGAGGGAUCUUUGUCCGCCACUCAGAGGUUCUUCGGCUUGGUCGGGGUCAGCACGUCCUUCAUCACGCAAGGGCUGAAGGAUGGGCCCUUACCCCCUGUGAUUCUCCGCUCCAGGUUGGUUCCUGCACACAUGUCUCACCAAACCGAUCUGCAUCAGCAUUAAAUUUUUCCGAACCUUCGUCCCUUAUCGUCCGAAGGUUGGGGGCAUGAAGGUUCGGUCAUCGCGAUCGAGUUACAUCUUUUCUCUCCGAUGCAGCUAGGGGGUGAAGGCGUGGUUGAGUUCUCAAUACUUAAAUAUAUAAUUUGUCCAUACACAAAUUUCAAGUCGUUUUGGACAUGAUUUAGGAUGCCAAGAAGUGAUUAAUCAGAUGUAUUUUUUCUUAUCAGCACCUAUUAUUAAAUAGAGUUCGGGUUUCUCCAUAGAUCAACCACUCGUCGCUAUACUGGCAAGCAGUGUGAAGCCCAAGGUGUUAGGUCUUAGGUUUAAUCCCUUGCUUUCAGUUCUUUUUUAAUUGGUGGUCGUUUUUUUCCAUAGCCUGCAUGGCUAAGCGAUACAAUUGGCUCUUCGACGUUCGAGUGUGUGUGAAGUGAGAGGAGCCAUGAUUUACUUAUGAAUGCACAUGGCGUGAGAGGAGGCACGAGUUACUUUCCUCUUCAAGACUGAGACUGAGCGACUGGACACGGGAGACGAAGGACCGGGGGGUGAUUAACUUUGUUCAAAAUGUUGUUAAAGAUGCAAAAAGACUUCAAUUGUGAACACCCCACUCACCAUCCAAAACUACUUUAAUUUGAAAUAUGAAGGGAGUCUUCACAAAGUUGUGAAUAUAAGUUAUGUUCCGUAAAAUAUUAUGAUAAAAGUUGUGUGUGUAACUUGGUACGUUUGAUUGAGUGCAGCGUGAUCUAUUUUUCUCUUCGAGAGUGGUUGACUCGACAUGGGAGACGAAGGACAACCAGGGUGGAUUCAUGCAAAAUGACUUCAAUUGUGAACACCCCAAUCACCCUCCAAAACAACUUCAGUUUUGAGUACGGAGGGAGUAUCAUUAUUCCUGUUAUGUAAGCCCACUUUUAGGUCCAGAUUAAUUAGCUUUACUGCAUAUAUGUAAAUAUGUCAAAUAUAUACUUUUUGAAAUAAACUAUAUUCAAAACAAAUCUACCCACAUCAUCACUUCCAUACAUUCAAACUAAACAUGUAAACAUCAUUCAAUAGUCAAGAGGUUUCGAGAUGAUUGACGUAAGACAACCUGAAAAUGUCGAUUUAAUAAAAAAAUCAAAGCAUUUGUCGUCAAAGUAAUUUUUGAAAUGAUUGACCCACAUCAUCACUUUAAUACAUUCAAACUAAACAUGUAGUGUUAAUAAUUAUACAUCUUCUGCUACCUACCAAUAAGCCCCUCACGCAGCACACGGCUCCGUUUUCUAGUUUUUGUCUUGUAUUCGUUCAUCAGAUGAAUUCUGUAUUUGAAGAGCAGUGCGUGUCGCCACCUCAUGAAAAAAGCGUGCCAGCUAGGUACUUGUUUUAAUUUCCACCGUGUGAGUAUUUUUUUUGAAGUGGUGAGUUAAUUAAAUGAAACCAUUUAAUUUUUCGAAUCACAAAGUCUGCAACCCAGUUUUGCAACCAUAUAGCGAAUGAAGCAUAAUCGAAAAGUCAUGGAACACAGUCACAUCACAUGCAUGGCCCACAUGCAUGCAUAACGACAAUUUGUAAACAAAAAGAUGUGAGUGCAUCAUAAGGUAGCAGUGAUCGAACAAAAUACGUGUCCUCCAAAACCGUACGGAGAACGGAUCGGAGGAAGUAUGUUUUUGACGAUGGUAAAGUUUAUUUUGCGUAUAUGCUUUCACUUUUUCAUCCAUUAGAAGUGUGCAAACACACAUCUCAAUGUGUGAAACUGCUUUAAGAUAUGUGUUUACACACUUCUCAAAGCGAGUCCAAUAGAUGGGAGAGUGAGAGUAUAUGCCCUCAAGGACAAAAAAAAACAAAAAAAACUUUUGACGAUAAGAUGUAGUGCCCGUUUUUCAUUAAGUGGAAAUGAUCGUAGAAAGUACACGGAAACAACAAGCCAAAGGACAUCUCUCUCACACACACGUACGACACGGACGUACAUACGGAGAGAUUUUUUAUUCAGUAUACGACGUAGCAGUAUAUAUAGUAGACAACUCAUCAUCACCCGUAGAUAGAUAGAGACUCAAGCAUGGUCGUCGUCGAUGCUCCGGCGCCGACGACGGCGGCGGAAUGGAUCAUCGAUCGACGAUCAUCAGGUCGUCGUUUCGGUUUAGCUCACCCUGGAGCAGUCGGUGGAGGUGCUGAUGGUGUAGGGGAUGCUGACGCCGCACUUGGAGGGGAUGCUGGCGGCCUUGCCGACGUUGAGGCCGCGGAUGCCACGGGCGGCGUUCUUGAGGCAGUUGCAGGCGGCGCGCCUGUCGGCGGUGGUGCGGGCGGCGGAGUUGAGGCUCCUGACGCCGCUGCAGCAGCCUGCGGAGGGUCCAGAGCCCUGGCCGCGGGCGUAGGACAGGCAGGGCCCGAUGGCGGAGCUCACCUGACCGCAUGUCACGGCGGCCUCCGAGGUCGUCGCCGCCAGCACCACCGCCGCCACGACGGCGAUCGCCACAGCAAGCUUCAUGCUGCGAGCCAUGUCGAUCUCGAUCGACCUCCUGUGAUAUAUGUGCUGAUGCUCGUAGGUGACUGAUAGCUUUUGGGAUGCAGUGAGUGAGCAAGUGCUAGCUGGUGAGGAGAUUGCAAUGGAAUGUUGCUCCUUAAAUAGGCAGGCUUUGUGAUCGAUGUGUGAGCUAGCUAGCGAUUGCUGAUGAGUGAUGUGCAUGCAUGGGAUGGGUGUGCAUGCUGUUUCAGUCGGUGGAUGCAUGCAUAUGCGUAUAUGUCCAUGGAUCGAUGGUAUCUCUCGCCAUGCAUCGAAGUUAACUGCUGGGGAGGAGGUGGUUGGGUGUUGAGGGAGGAGGGCAGAUGCUUGUUUAGUUGUUGUAAUACCCGAUUUUAAGGACAAAACCAGAUAUGCACCAUAUGUGAGUUUUAAAAGCCAAAUCUCACAUAUAGCUACAAAUAAGGGGUAAUAUCAAAAGACAAUGCAAAAAUUAUAUAACGUACAUAAUAUAAAAGAGAUAACCUUUGAUAGCAAACAACGGAUAGACAACUCCAAACUCCGGGUAUUAACUUCUCUCUACAGGAUCCAACUGACUGGUUGAUCACAAGCCUAAACUUCUCCUGAGGUUUGGGGGAAAUAGCAAGAGUGAGUCCAUGUCAAACUCCACAAGUAUAGCAACUAGAUUGUAUAGCUCCCACAAUCUCAUGAUCAAUGUGACAUAAAUAAUGUAAAGCAUUAAACAAUAAGCAAUGAGCAUAUUUAACACACAAGAUUCAUCACCCUUAAUGUAGAUGUCCCCAAGGCCGUUCCUGACCGUGAGCUCGGCUAGUAUACUAGUUUUAACACUCUGCAGAGGUUGCACAUCUUUACCCAUGAGUCAUGAUUUACCCUUUCGCCCGAGGUGAUCAGCCUCUUAACCCACUUCCAAGGAAGGUCGGCAGGGAUCACUAUGAAGCCUUUCAAAAGUUCGUCUAACAUGUUAGGGCCGCAAGGUUUCCUUUGCGAGCAGAUAUAGAUACCCCCCUUCCGAAUGGCACAAUGACGCGCAGCCUAUACACAUAGGGACAGGGGCUCGCACUAUACCCGUGUCGGUUCAGCCCCUCCGCCCUUUCGGGUAACCUCUAACAAGCUAGAAAAGGUCUUCAUACUGAGCUAAAGCCAGAGCCAUUAUAGCCCUCAUGGUUGCACUGUUAUCCCGGGUGAUCACGUACAGACAAAUCAUCAAGUUGUUAAAAAGUCAUUUUUACCAUUUAUUACUUAACAUUAAUCUAGUCACAGGAUCAUGGUCACAGAAAUAAAAUCCAAAUGCUAUACUUGCCUCAAUCCAAUUGCUCUUGCUUAUCCUUUUGGUCCUGCUGGUCUCACUUGUUGCCAAAGCUUUGAUCUUGAUCACCGAAACUGCUCUCCGUCUAAACUCGAUCAUCGAUCAUCAACACACAAACAAUCGGACACAACAUACACGUAGCAAACAAGGCUAUAAUUAGAACAGUACACCAAUCAUAUAAAAACAAUAUGAAAAAUUUGUAAAAUAAUUCUACGCAUCGCUACGAUCUCACAGACGUAAAGAUGACGAAAAUCGGAGUUAAAACGGAAAAGAUAUGGAUUUUCUAAGAUUUUAUAUAGAAAAGUAAUUAAUUAAUUAAGGUCACGAAAUUAAAAGGUUUCAAACUGAGUGAACAAUAUUACUAACAUGUAGUGCUCGUGAUUACGAACCUAACACAAUUUCAAUGGACAAAACGGAGUUAAAACAGAGAUGAUAUGGCCUAAAUAAACUAGCGUAUUUUCUUUGUAUUUUUAGGUUUGUUUUUCUAAAGGAAAACGGCAAUAAAACAUGUCUAUGUUAUAACGACGUCAUCAAGCUAGCCAGCAACGUUUAUUCGCAGAUAUAUGUUAGACAUGUACAUCCCUAGAUCGAUUGCUGCGCAGAUAGAAACAUCGCCGGGCGAAACAAAUCAGUGCAUGCACUUGUAGAGGCUUUGUGAAAUUUCUCACACAGGAAUCGACAUAUUAAAGAUGCAAAGUUACCUCUUAUGGUGAUUAUAAGAUUCAAUAGGACAUGCUUGCCGAACGAUGGGUCAGUGGCCACGUCGUCAAGAACAGGUUGAUCUACGGCAACACCUUCUACUCCCGUGCUCUGUUGCUUGCUACUCUUCACGUGGCCAGCGAUUUGGUCUUCUGCUUCUUUGGUCCACAAUCACGAUGGUUCACCGGAACAUGGCAAGCAGCUCUGGCAAGCAGGACGUGGCAAGAGCAGAGCGGCGGCCGUAACAUGGCAAGGGCAGCAUCUAUCUAGGCAUGGCCGACGGCGGCGGCUCUCAAGGGUUUUAAGGACGUAAACACUCUAGACGAAUAUGACGUGUAUAUAUACGUGCGGUCUAGAUCAAGUUUGAUUAGGGUUAGAACUUAUUAUUUUUGGAAUUAAUUAUUUUCAUGGAUAAAAUAAUUAUAGAAAAGUCCAGAAUUAUUAUUUAAACUAUGAAAAAUAUUCUAAAAGCUCUGAAAAUUCGGAGAAAAUUCUCAGAGACAUUAUGGAAUAUGAGGAACUCAAAUAACGUAUUUGGACCUCAUGAUAAGAUAAUUUGGAGCAUCUAAAAAUUAGAUUUAUGCUCAUAGAAAAGUGAGAAUAGAAGAUGGAAAAAUUCCCGAAAAGUUUGUAGAGAUUGCUUGAUGGACGAGGAACUAAAAGAAGUGCUUUGAGUGACAAAGAAAAGAUUUUAGGAAGCUCCUAAUAAAAAAUUGAGCUGAGAAACCAAAGAAUUUGGUUAUAGAUAAAGAUAAAGACGUACUGGUCAAGGAAGAUCUACUAAACGCAUUUUAAAACUUUGCUCACUCAACACAUAAAGGAGCAACAAGUCAACAUCACAUCAAAACAUAUGCACCAGCAUGUAUGCACAACAAUAUUGCUAAGGCUUAUGAUAAAUUUUAAUUUAAUGAAAAUUAUUAUUUUCCUUAUAUUUUCGUGAGCACAAAAUACAAAACUGAAUAAAUUUUCAUCUAUUUUGAAAAGAGCAAAAUUUAGGGUGUUACAGUUGUCAAAAUUUUUUAAAAUUCUCAAUCAAAUUAAAUCUUGGGACACAAUGUAUCAAAUAUUAAAUAUAGAUAAAAAUUAAUUAAUUAUAUAGUUUGUAUAUAAUUUGCGAGAUAAAUUUUGUAAACCUAGUUAAUCUAUAAUUAAACAAAAAUUAUUAAAUAUAAACGGUGCUAUAGUAACUAGAUCCAAAAAUUUUCACCAACUAAGGGCUUGUACAACGAUGGGCGCUUAUGAUCAGGUAUUGGCCGUUAAAUAGUUUUUUUGCCACACGGUGGAGUCCUGAGCGGGCGCUUAAAAAUAGAUUUGCCGCUCCGUAAAGCAUCGACGCCUAGACCGGCUCCUUGCUUGAUACUGGUGUUUGCAUGCGACGUAACGGUCACAACUUAAGCGCCUUCAAAUACGUGUUGUGUUGUAGAUUAAGGUUAUAAAGAGACGCUUAGUUACAAAAGUAUUUUCUCUUUCCAUCUAAGCGCCUUUUGCAUUGUACGUGCUCUAAACAAGGCCACAGAUACAGACAUACAGUGGUUAGCUGAGGCAGAGUGAAAUCAUUAGCAGCAAACAUAUAAUAAAUAGCAGCCGCCUAGCACGACUUAGCGCCACUUAAGUUUUGUUUAGUUACGCUCGAAAUCCAAAAACUUUUCAAGGUUCUCUUCACGUCGAAUUUAGAGACACAUACAUGUAGCACGACUUAGCGCCACUUAAGUUUUGUUUAGUUACACUCGAAAUCCAAAAACUUUUCAAAGUUCCCUUCACGUCGAAUUUAGAGACACAUACAUGAAGCAUUAAAUAUAAAUAAAAAAAUAACUAAUUACAUAAUUUAUCUGUAAUUUGAGAGACGAAGCUUUUGAGUCUAGUUAGUCUAUAGUUGAACAAUAAUUAUCAAAUAUAAAAAAAAAUGUUAUAGUACCAAAAAAAUCUUUUCACUCACGAACUAAAUAAAGGCCCUAAUCUCAUCAUCCGCCUCACUGUUUAAUCGAAUGUCCUUGAUGGCCACCCACAGGCUCACAAAACCUGAGACGGUGAGACCUUGCCUGGGGUAGUAUAUGGGGCCAAUGGCCAAUCCAUUUAUCAGUUUGCCCAAGGCAGGUGGUGGGCCACUCUGUUCAAUUUUGAGUCUAAUAUAUGCAAUAUCUUCUCUUUUGUGCAAUUUUUGUCCGUGGGUUCAAACAAUCCUGCCACCGUGUCACCGGUGGCUGAUCGUGUCAACCCUUCGCCGCAGUCCGCUCCACCACAGUACGGGGGGCCCAGUUGCAGUCUCUGCCACCGCAGUAGGGAUGUUGAACUUGUAAUAAUAAAUAUGUGAGUGCUUUUAAUAUAUAAUGCAUGUUGGUGAUAUAGAUGUGAUAAUUGGCGUGUGUGUAUAUAUAUUGUCUGUUACAAUGGAAUGUAAAAAAUAAAACAAAUACAAUUCUCGGGGUCUUCGCCGAGUGCGGUGCCAGGGUCACUUGGCAAAGCAAUUUAAAAAAACAAUUUUGCCGAGUGUCGGGGCCACGACCACUCGGCAAAGAAUUUUUCUUUAAAAAAGAAAAGACACUUUGCCGAGUGCUGAUGCUAGGGGCACUAGGCAAAGUAUUUUUAAAAAAAACAAAUAUGCGGAGUGCCGCGGCAAGGGACACUCAGCAAAUAUUUUUUUUUUAAAAAAAAAGAAAGAAAAUCUUUGUCGAGUGCCUGAGGCCAGAGGCACUUGGCAAAGCAAUUUUUUUUAAAAAAACUUUGCCGAGUGUUAAGGGGCCAGGGGCACACGGUAAAAUAUUUUUUAAAAAACAAAAACUUUGUCGAGUGUCGUGUCGGGCAACUCGGCAAAAUAACUGUUAACGGCAGAUGCUGUGACGGCCAAAAAUGUUGCCGAGUGCUGUCGUAAGCACUCAGUAAAAUGUUUUUAAUAUUUUGCUAAGUGCCUCGGUAAAAAGCACUCAGCAAAGUCUCUUUGUCGAAAAUUUUUUUGCCGAGCGAACUUUGCUGAGUGCUACGUUCGGCAAAGCCUUUGCCGAGUGCAAAGGGCUCUUUGUCGAAUGUAAAAACACUCGGCAAAGUCCUAAUUUCCAGUGGUGGGUGUGCUGGGACAAUUUAGAAAGCAAGCAACGAUUUCAUUUUGCGUUAGAUCACUCCCAUCCUCGAAGCCUCAGUUUUUUUUUUCAGAAAUAAGUUCCAGCUGUUGCUGCUGAGAACUAAAAGAAGCUUUUCACCCUUGAUUGAUCAAUGGAUUGGCUCUCUAGUUUAACAGGCUUCUUUGUUGUACUCUUUUUGCUCUUUUUUCCUUAGUUUUUUUGUUCCUUAGUUAAGACUCCACCCUACUGCCUCCUUAACUGUUGUGCUUUUUUUUUUGUAAAAGACCUUUUUUAUUAUAAUUUUUGCAUUGUUGUAGGGGUGCAAACCCCUCCAAUCUCCUUCAAAAAAUUCAAAAGUAAUAUAACCUUGCAGAACAAAGGACGGUAAUCCCACCAUUUUGCUAUGUGAGCCCACUCCUCUUAUUUUUUUUACUUUUAUUUUGAUUAUGCCCACUCCUGUUAAGCAGUCAUUUGUUCCAUUCCCUAAAUAUAUUUCUAUUUUUUAGAAUAUUCAAUAAGGCGUAUAUACAUUAUAUUUUAAGAAAUAAACUAUAUUCAAGACAAAUCUACCCACAUCAAUAUUACUUGUAUACAUUCAAAUAAACAUGUAGACAUAAUAAUUCGAUAGUUAAGGUUUCAAAAUGAUUGAAAUAAGACAACUUGAAAUAUGUCACAAUAAAAAAUUAUUUGUGGUCAAAGUUUCUGAAAUUAUUGACUUACGACAACGUACAUCCAAGUGUCACUUAAUUGCUUUGUGAGCAGAGGGAGUAUAUAUUUUGGCAAGUUACCCUCCAUCUAAAAAUAUAAAACACAUGUUUUUAGGACAGUAAGAUUUGACCAAUAGGUGCUUGUGCCAUUAAUAUGCAUAAAUCAUAGAUACUUUUGAAUACAAAUAUCUAGUUACAUCAAUUUGCUACCACAAAAUUGCAAGUAUCUUGGUUAAAGCCAUGUCUAACAAAACAUGAGCUUUGGGAUGGAUAUAUAUCAUAUUGGUGUGUACGUUUAGUAGUCUCUCUUCGUUUCAAUUUAUUAGAUGUUGUUUUGGCUUUUGUAGAUACAAAAAUUUUUUUAUGUAUCUAGAUAACGUUUAUUAUGAUAUAGAUAUAUCGUAUAUCUAUAUGCCUAAAAAACUGAAUAUCUAGAAAAACUAAAAUAACCUAUAAUUUAGGAUAGAGGGUGGUAAUAAUUAUACAUCUUCUGCUACCAAGUCCCUUAAUUACAGCACACAGCUCUGUUUUCUAGUUGCCUUGAUCGUUCAUCAGAUGAAUUAUGUAUUUGAAGAGUAGCGCGUGUGUGGUCAUGUCAUGAAAACGUGCUAGCUAGGUACUUGUUUUAAUUUCCACCGUGUGAGUAUUUUUUUUUUUCAAGUGGCGAGAGUUCAUUAAUUAAAUAAAACCAUUCAAUUUUUCAAAUCACAAUACGUUGUCUGCAAAUCCUCUGAGUCAGCCAGUUUUUCGUUACGUGCUAUACUCCGUCCAUUCUAAAUUAUGUUUUUUAAACUUUUUGGUAUAUUCAUUUUGCUACAUACUAAAAAAAUUAAAAAUAACUUAUAAUUUAGAACAGAAGAGGUAUAUAUAUAGUUGCAUAUAUGCUGACAAGUGUUUGGGGGAGAAUAGAGCAGUAACUCUCUUGACCAAGCGUUUGGGAGUCAUGGAACACAGUCACAUGGCGCAUGCAUGCGUAACAACAAUUUGGAAACAAAGAGAUGUGUGUGUGCAUGUAGCAGUGAUCGAACUAGUACAAACCACAGGAGCGAGAGGAAACGUACACGGACAUAAAUAAUAAACACCGCACAUAGUGCAUGCACUCAAAAAUAAACCCAACAAGCAAAAGUACAUCUCUCACACACACAUGUACACACGCACGUACGUACAUACGCUAAGAUGCAAGCGUAUCACAGCGUACACGACGACACGUACGUACAUACGGAGAGAUUUUUAUUCAGUAGUACGACGUAGCAGUAGUAGACAACUCAUCAUCUCAUCAUAUCAGGCGUAGAUAGAUACUCAUCCAUGGUCGAUGCUCCGGCGCCGAUCGACGACGACGGCGGCGGCGGCGGAAUGGAUCAUCGAUCGAUCGAUCAUCGUUUAGGUUUAGUUCACCCUGCAUGAUCAUGCAUGCAUGGAAGACGAAGCACAAGUUAAUUAAACGACUUGAUAUUCAAGUUGAAUCAGACCAUGCAUGCAUGCAAAGUUGCAAACAACUUGUAGUGAUUGGAUCAUUCAUUCAGAUCAUCACUUAAUUACCUGGAGCAGUCGGUGGAGGUGCUGAUGGUGUAGGGGACGCUGACGCCGCACUUGGAGGGGAUGCUGGCGGCGUUGCCGGCGUUGAGGCCGCUGAUGCCACGGGCGGCGUUCUUGAGGCAGUUGCAGGCGGCGCGCCUGUCGGCGGUGGUGCGGGCGGCGGAGUUGAGGCUCCUGACGCCGCUGCAGCAGCCUGCUGAGGGUGCGGAGCCCUGGCCCCGGGCGUAGGACAGGCAGGGCGCGAUGGCCGAGCUCACCUGCCCGCAGGAGAUGGCCGCCUCCGAGGUCGUCGCCGCCAGCACCACCACCGCCGCCGCCGCCACCACGGCGAUCGCCACAGCAAGCCGAGCCAUGUCGUCGAUGUUCUGGGGGUGUCUGAGACUUGCUUGUACUAGCUUUGGAAUGCAAGUGAGCAAGUGCUAGCCGCUGGUGAGGAGAGUGAGAUGGAGUGUGGCUCCUUAAAUAGGCAGGCUUGCGAUCGAUCUGAUCUGAUCUGAUCUGGGAGCUAGCUACAGUAGCUUGUCAUUGCUGAUGACAGAUGUGCAUGCAUGCACGGUGUUGUUGCAUUGCAUGCAGUUUCAGGCAGGCAGUCGGUGGAAUGGUGGAUGCAUGCAUAUGAAUGAAUGAAUAUGGUGGAUGUUCCAACAUCAUCUUCCAUGGACGACGGACGGUAUCGUCGCCAUCCGUCGAAGUUAAUUGCUGGGCAGGAGGUGGUUGGGUGUUGGGAGCAGGAGGCAGAUAGAUACAGAUAAUACUACAGCGGUUAGUUGAUGAGGGCAUGAUCGAGGCAGAGUGAAUUCAUUUGCAGCAGCAAUAGCAACUUAUUAGGGUAUGUUAUACUAUAACACUUUCGUUUAUAUUUAGCAAUAAAUAUUUAAUUAUAGACUAACUAGACUCAACAAGUACUUUAUCUCGCGAUUUACAUAUACAAACUAUGUAGUUAAUUAUUUUUUUUUUAUUUAUAUAUAUUUUAUGUUUCGUACAUGCGUCUAAAGAUUCGAUGCGACGAGAAAUCUUAUAAACAUUUAGAAUUUUAAAGACAUUUAAACACGCCCUUAAAUAGCAGCCGCCUAACACGACUUAGCAGGCAGGGUGAUGGCGGCAGUCGGCAGGGACGGACGUACGUGGCUCUCAUCUGAUGAAGUUGGAGGCGUAUUCACUCUCUCUCACUAGUGUGUCAGUGUGAGGUAGUUUGCAGUUGGAUCCGAGUGCUUAUCGCACAAUAAACACAUACUCUUCCUGCAUUAAGACGUCAAUUAUAUAUGGAUCGUCCAUCAUCCAUGAAUCCUUCCAGUAGUCUUCGUUAAUUCCUCCCGGCCGCAACCAGAAACAGAGAUAUCAGUACAGUGCAGGAGGUUACAUGCACAUUCACAAAUUGAAGUUGCAGCAGUGGUAGCGAUUAAGUUGUCCAGCAAGUAUGGGAGCCCACAUGUCGCUGUCUCGAUCGGAAGCUCCGCCACGUAUUACAUACAUGCAUCCCGUCCCCAACCUAGCUAGCUACCUCUGUGUGCACAGGCAGGUACCACCGACGGUUUCCCAAAACUCGUAUGUGUCCGACCCUCAAAAACAAAUCUCUCAAUUUUUGUUCAAAACAAACAAAUUUUUUAAAAUUUUAGAUUCAAAAACAAACAACUUUUGACCAUCAAAGAAAAAUACUGCUCUACCUCGAUCCGUUCUAAAAAGAACUUGGGAUUAUAUUCUAGAAAGUAACAGAUAGAUUCGUGUGUAAUGUUUAGAGAUGAGAUCUUGUAUGAAAAGAUUGGUUGAUGCGUAUAGAGCAACUUCAACCAAACUUCUAAAUGAACCUCUACCUUUUUAUAUAAAGGGGCUAAAACUCAAAUAUACUCUCGAACUGAUCCGGUCCCGACGGAGAGGGGCUCCCAUUUAUCUUUCCUCUAGAUGUAUGAGGCGGUGUUUCGGAUGGUUUGAUUCAAUUCCUUGCAGCUGCUAUUCAAUGAUGUCUUAACUGUAGCUCAUUUCUACCACUCUUAAUUAUGUAUGGCGAAGAGAAGAUUAAGCUCCCAAUCGAGUCCGAGUUGGAGGAUUUCGGUGCAACGUGGAGUUUGAUCUCUGCAUGGAUCGUUAAAUCUAAGUUGAGGUCAAUGUUUGUACUACAGAUCAUAGUACAUUGUGGUUGCCCUUGUUUGUAUGAGAUCUAGUGUAGAAUUUGUUGAUACUUUGUUGGCUACACAUUUGAUGGUUCCUUUCACUUAGGUUUCUUGGAUGAGCAGUUGUAAAUGCCAUUGCUUUCAUUAGUCGGCAGUUUGGUGCGCAUAGUGGUGUUCACAUGUGCUAGUUGCUCAUUUAGUGAUUGUGGUUCCUGAAUUAUGUGUUUGAGGUGGAGCACAUUUAGAAAGUAUGGAUUUGCAUUCUUCACUAUCUGUUCAAUUAAUGCCUUAGGUGAUUUCUUCGCAUACCCUUUCGUGAUCGAGCAAUUUGUUCAGACUUGGGUUAGAAGGCAGUAGCACAUGCUCAAACAUUUGCUGCGGUUAGAAUUUGUCGAAGACUCAGUUUUGUUCAUCUGAAUUUGGUGAGACACGAUUUGAACUUCCUAGUUAUUCUUGCUUGCUCGAUUUGGUAGCUUCUUGUGAAGCAUUUGUUGGUGGUUUUGUUAGUGUAUUUGACUUGGUGUUGGAGAUUUGAGCAUUUUGCAUCAUGAUCAUUGGUGUGUUGGCCAUGUUGUUCACUCAUUGGAGUUCACUCAUGAAUUUGUUUCUAGCUUCAUCAUUUGCCAAGUCAAAACAAGCUACCUUCAUGUUGGAGGCGAUAAAUUUGUCUUUUUUAUUAUUUAUUUGAAGAUGAAGGAUUUGAAGAUUGGACUUCCCUCAUCAAGAAUCUUGAUGUGUUCGCUCUAUGGUUCAAUCGUCGCCGAGGUAUAGAAUUGUGAUGUUGCAGCUUCUAAUAACACCAUUUGAGGCUUUACAUUAUGCAGAAUGUUACCUAUAUGUUUGGUUAGGUGUCUAGGAACUUAUUUGUGGUAAUCUGUAACUUUGAGAGCCUUUUAAUGAAAUGCCCAAACCAGCCCAAAAAGGGCAUCCCAAGCUCCCUGCUUCUGUAGGUGCAUGCUCUUCCCCUUUGGGGGGUUGAGAGAGGCCGGGAGAGGAGAUUUGAGGGUGGGGCUUUGUUUUACCAAAUCUGAACAUUAUAGAGUGAAAUCGGAGGGGAUUUAGAGCCUUCGCCAACCUUGUUAGUUCACGCCUCUUGUAUCAUCAUCUUCACAGUGGAUUGCUUGCUCGUCGCCGCCUGUGGUUUUUCCUACAAGGGGUUUCCACAUAAAUCUUAGUCUCUACCUAUGAUUCAGUAUUUAUCUUGCCAUACUUGUUGAUUCAUACCAAUCUUGCUUACAUGGUGUCAUUUCUCCAAGUUCAUGGUGUAUGAUUGAUAUUGACGUAUGAUGCAUACAUGCAUUCUCUUAUAUGUUAAUGAUGGGGAUUGAUGUGUUAGUGAGUUCAUAUUUACAAGUAUACUCAUUAUUGUGAAGUUUGCAUAGCACCAUGUCUGAAGAAUUGAUAAUAUGGGUCUGAUUUGUAUUUUGCACAUAAGGUGUUAGUUGAAAUAUUCAUGAGUAACUAGCUUGCUAAUUUUGAUGUUUCCUCUGCCUCUAUGCGCUUACAAUAAGUUUAUGGAAUAAAUUUUAGAUCCUUAAUUGAUAUUUAUCUUUGGAAAUAGAGGAAGUAAUAAAUGGUCCCAAUUUGCUAGCCACUUGUACAUAGUUAUACUAUAUACAAGCUUAUGCAAGUCAAAAUGUAAAAAACAAGAAGAACCAAGAAACAUGAACAAAAUACAUACAUACACUUAUGCAAGAUGUAGUAUAUAACUUUUAGGACAAUAUUUAUUUUGGCUCUGUUUCACUAGUGGAGUAGCUUUUUCCACUGGUAAAGGUAAAAUUGUUUUAGUUGUUUGGUCAAACAACUUCUCUAAUUCUUAAAAACAAAAAAUGACUAUAAUACUCUUUUUUGGCUGGCCGAGCUUUAAAAUUUUUAUCUUCUUUUUUAUGAAUUCUUCUUUAUGUGGCUACCAUCUGUUUGUCCUCCCCGCUUAUCCCCUGGUGCCCCGACCCGUCCACCUCCGCCUCAGCUUUGCCACCUUCAUCCUCAUCCAGCCACCAGAUGUUUCUCCUCAGUGUUCAUCCCAUGGUCCCCGCCCAUCUCCCACCGGUGACUCCACCCCUCACACCUCAAUGACUCCACCCCGCCCUUGUUACAUCAUUCUUCGUUGUAGUUUUGUUUGCAUCCAAUGACUUCAGUCACCCCCACAACUCUAGCCCCAUGCCACACUUGUCAUGGUGCAUGUAUUUGCCGCACCAUGCCUAUACAAAGAUGGCCCUCAUGACUUGAUGGAAGAGCUAAGCAAAGCCAUUUUUAGCUUCCCUAGAUGUGAGCGCGUGUAAGAUCGUGUUUUCCGAAGUUAGCACGAGGAGUAGCAACAGCUUUCAAGAUGGCAACGGGCCCCGAUCCCCGAUGGGGAUUUCAUCCAUUAGGGGACGAGAACGGGAAAAUUUUGAUCCCCGUAGGGGGACUUCAUGAGAAAGAAGGAUCCUCCAUCAGGUGAAGCGGGGAUGCAAACAUUCUAGGCUUCAUCCUUUAGCCUGACCCAACAAAUGAAAUAGGUCCAGUUUCUAACACCUAAAAAAAUCAUAUAAAAGCAAGAGCAUUUGUAACCCUAGUGAUCCACCAUUGCUUCUAGGCUUCUAGCUGAGUUGUCACUUCCACCGGUCCUCCUCCACUCCUCCUGUAUGCCUCUAAAGUCCAAGCUCAUCCUAUCUCCCUCUCUCCCCUCUACCCUCUGUCUCGCACCAACGACGUUGUGGUGGCGGUGAUGCUUGCGGGCUGUGGCCACAUGCUCUGGUAAGCAAGCACUGCUCUAGGGUUGAACCUGACAACAGCGGAGCCACGGAUGAGGUGUUCAAGGGAAGACGUGAAGGGCAACACCAAGGGGUUUAUCGGGGAUAGAGACCCCGCCGAGUGUGUAAUCUCGGGGACAGGGAUGGGGAAAUCUGGUACCCAGGUGCAGGGAUAGGAACAGGGACGGGGAGCGGGGUGUUUUUCUUUUCUCAUGGUCAAAACGUUCAAGCAAAACCUGACGGGGAUAGCCCCGUUGCCAUCUUUAAACGGCUCUCCUUCACCUGUUCGGUAGACGAACACGUAGACCAACUCUAGGAGCAGUUUGAUUUACAUUUCCUGACGGUUGACGGAGUUAGUAAUUAAUUACGUAAGAGUAGUUGAAGGAGCUUCCCGGCACCAUAUACUUGCGAGUGAUAUGCAGGGGUUACAAUAAUUACAGUUUACAAUGCUCGUCUCUUUAAUUAUGCGACGGGACGUGACGAUGGCCCAGCGGCUCAGCUGCAUGCAUGGAUCAAUCGAUCGAUCGCCAAUUAUCAAAAAAACCAAUCGAUCGACAGCUAGGUAAACUACCAGCUGCGGAUUAUAAAUUAUUCACGCUCAUCAUAUACAUAUAUAAUUAUAUAUACACGUACGUACGCUUCUGAGUACGAGCGACGAAAGUGUGGUGCAAGUGCAGCGUACAUGCCGGUACAGCGGCCAUCAUAUCAAGAUAUGUAUCCAUCUCCUACUACUGUACACAUUUGUAUCCUUACGGAGAUACAGUAUAUCAAGAUCAUCCUCUGACUCACUGCAUAGUCUGCACCGCAUCACGUACGUGCCGAAUACGUACAAGACUGAUUCAUGCUACAUAGUACGUGCGCCACACUCCUCGAUCGAUCGGUACAUCUUCACGUGUCCAUGUUCCUCAUCAACGAAUUAAUGCAUUUGUUUUCACAUGCCGCAUGCAUGAGAGUCGUCGGUCGUGGUGCCACUGUGCACACAUGCUUGAGUCCUUUGCUUUUCCUGUGCUCCAAUUCUUUUUUUCCAUAUACUCUACUCCCCGUCCCAAAAAAAGUGUCGUUUUAGAAUUUCAAACAUCUUAUUUGAUCAUCCAUUUUAUUCAAAAUUUUUACAUAAGUAUUAUAAAUUUUGUUAAGACCUAUUUAUCAUUAGAGAUACUUUACUAAUGAUUUAUUUAUUUUAUAAUUUACACAAAAUUUUUGAAUAAGACGAACGAUCAAACACGAUUUCUAAAAAUAAAAAACGUCACUUUUUUUAGAAUGGAGGGAGUACAUUAUUUUCAGAUGCCCAUCCUAGAGUAUGUAGUACCAUUCCAUGUAACAGCUAGUACCUUGUACCUAGGAUGGAGUACGUACUACUCGUGCUUGCAGUAGCGCGCGAAAGUGGACGACAGCACGCCCAUACGGCCAUCCGCUCACCAUUGUCUACAUCCUAGCUUUCUACGUACGUGUGUACCUGUACAUAUAGUCAUAAACCUAUAUCUACAUUUUUUAAUAAUAAUUUAUAUCCAUACCCUAAUAAUUUUAAUAAUAAUGAAUAAUAAAAGAAGCAAAAAAUUUCCCAUCCCUCCUAUUACUGCUUUAAGUAAAAAAAAAGACCUUCACGGACGCGGCAACACUUGUGUUAGGAUGAAAGAUAGAAAUGAGGCACAGCCAAUCUGUCGUCUUGUGAUGAAUUACGAAAAGAAUAUUUGUCAUCAGAUCAGUAGUAGAAUUAACAAUCACACGUAGAACAGACACAAUGAUUUAUGUGAAAGACCUUUUCAAGGCAAGAAGUAAAAACUAUGGAACCAAACGCUCUACUCCAAGCUUCCACUAUAAGUACAAUGAGUGUAGAAGGAGUUUUAUCUAGGGAAUCUAGAGUUAACCAGCGAUAACACAUUCAUCAAAUUACAAACUUGCCAUCAGUUAGAACCACAACCUUCUAACAAUAAGAGGAAUGACAACAACGAAGUAAAGAACUCAUAUAUUUUGUUCCCCUUUGGUAUCAAUUUAUAUCUCAAACUAUAGCUUUAUUGUGCAUUAAUUUUGAAAUGCAUAUAGAUCCACAAGUCCCCUAGCCACUGAUCAAGUUUUAGCUCAAUUGGACACCAUUUCACCAUCCAAAACAAUCAUCUACCAAAAUUUCUCUCUGUCUUGAAACUUAGUAACCAGAGCUGACAAAACAUACCCUUUCAAAUCUGGUGCUCUAAUCAACCGAUCCUCAAACCAACUGAACAUAUCAAACUAACCUAAUUGAGGAAUGAGCUAACCAAGUUUGGUCCCAAUCCAUCUAUGUUUGAGCCUACAAUCACUGGCUUUAAGAUGGCUGGUUAGAGCCACCAAAUCUCGAUAGAUUUGGUUCUUCUUAUUGUUCCUCCUCUUUGUCUAUCACGUUGUGGUGUUCUUGUGUUUCUCAACACCCCUCUCUUAGCUCCAACAACUAAAGGAAUAAAAGCUAGGGUUUUUAUUUUUAGUUUCCAAUUAAGAUUGAUCUUCACCGUUGGUUCCAACUAAAAUCAACAACUCACAAGAACUAGCCUCAGAGUUAUAUUUUCAGCUGCUUUGCGGAGCUCAAGAUCAUCCUCUAUAUGAAGGGACAGACUAGCACUUGUGUCAUAGCUUGGUCGACUGAGCUUGAGAUCCAACGGUGGGGUGGUGGGGCUCUAGAGCCCCCUCCUACGGCUACUGGACCUAUGGAGUCUCCAUAGGAAUUUUUUAUCAUGGAUGCACUUGAGGAGAGGCUGAAGCUAUCUAAAGGUUUAAAGAAAUCUCCCUAGACAUUUUUGCUAGAUCCGUUCCUAUAUGUGAUACAACCAGUGCAUUCAAUAGCCAGUAGCCACCAAAUCACUAGAAUUUAUUUGAUUUAAUUAAAGUAAAGUUUGGUUCCAACUAAAUUAAUAAAUUUAAUAAAAUGAUUAGUUUAUUAUCAUCUACUUUGGUAGAUCCAGACAAUCGCACGAGAAGUUGUAGGUGUGUACUUGUGUUACAGCACAGCAGCAUAUAUGAGCAUAUUCGUUAUGCCAAUAUUAUACACAAAGAAAAAGAGUCAUGGACGAGGCGGCAAUUGCUGUCGGUGGAUGGCUACCUUUCGGAAGCUAGCCACCGUACACACUCUUUUGGCCGGCCGGCGUCGGCGUGCUGCCAAGUGCAACCUCCCCAACGCUAAGCAGGUAGUGAUAUUAAUGCCGCUGCCGGUGAGGCUCGUCGUCGUCGUCGUCGUCGUCGUCGUGUGACACAAACAAGUCUACCAUCACCCAGAGUGGUCCCGGACACUGUAGGACACGCGUAGUGUAUGUACGCAAUGUCGUCGUCUGCUGCCCUGCUCAACGAUGUGUUCUAACUUUAUUACACGGUACCUGUACGAGGGUAGCAGCAGCUGCUCGGCUGCUGCAGGUGGAUCAUGCACACGCGCGCAACUCCAACACUACCCUAAACUUCACUUGGCAAAUCUUGAAUUUUGCAAAGUGUAAAACUCAAAUGCCAAGUGAAAAAAAGAGGCUUCUGUUAGCUAUUUCUUUUGACAAAUUUGGACUAUCUUGUGAUUCCUGAAAAAAUCAGAGAGACUUUUAUACAAAAGUUGCAAUCUAUUUAAGGCAUGCGUGCAUGCUGAAUGUGUGGGUCCCACCGCGUAGGCAGGAUGCCAAGCGCUCCCAACGCUCUUAAAUUUGAGCCAGUUGGCCCUCUUUUUGCCAAGCAUCCUAUUUUGCCAAGUGCAUAUAGAGUAGUGUUGGAGGAGCUUUUCCAUGUUUUGCCAAAAAUUAGGAUUUGCCAAGUGCAUAUAGGGUAGUGUUGGAGUUGCUCUAAGGACGUCCAGAACAGCCAUCUAAGGUCUCUUUGGUUGGACUUUUGAACCUGCUUUUGCUUUUGUAAAAGCCAAAAUCCAACCAAAGGGCCCAAAAGCCACAAGUGCUUUUGCCCAAAAGCAGCUUUUCUCGUAGUACAAAUCCAAAAGCACCUCACCCCCUGCUUUCACUGACUUCUGGGAUCCGUUCAGUUUUUUUUUCCAAAAGCCACGAGUGACCAACCAAAUGACUUUUGGGUUUCUCAAAGCCCACAUCCCACAGUAGCUUUUCAAAAGCUCAAAGCUCACAGUAGCUUUUCCAAAAGUCACAUCCCAAUCAAACACACCCUAAGGCCUUGUUUAGAUCCAAAUAAUAGAUCUACAGGAUCUACUAGCAAUAGAAAGAACAGGGAUUCGGGAUACAUAAGUAACAUAGACAGUAACAUAAAUAUGCACACUAGAUCUAUUACAUAGGGAAUAGAAACAGGUAGAUCUAGAGUAUAGGGAUUCGACCGUCGUUGGCGGCGGGUGUAGAUCCAGUGGGGUCCAUGGCGAGGGCGUUGACGCGGUGACGGAGUAGAUCCCGUCGUCCUUCGGGCCUCCACCGGCACUGACCGACGACGGCGGGGUAGGAGUAGAAGGGUGACGGCGCGGUGGUGCUUCCCGACGCCACUGCGCACUGUCGAUCGGCGACCUAGGGUUGUGAGUAGGGUUUGGCGGCGCACGACGAACUUCGUGUUGUGUGCCAGUAGCCCCCUACUCCUAUAUUUAUAGCGCAGCGCGUCGGGGGCCCACCAACGAUAGAUCGAUUGGACGCCCCCGAUCAGGGCGCGAUCCAGGGGGAAAGGCCCCAGCCGUUGGGCUGGGCCUGAGAUCAAUAUAACAUUCUCCCUCUUGAUCUCAUCUGUGCUUUCUCGCUUUGUCAACUCACCCCGUCACAAAUCAGUGUAUUGAGCAUGCUUCAUCUUAGCAGUUAUCACUGCUAGAUUAGACAGCCACAAACACUUUUCUGUUUAGAGAUGAAUUCUCGCCUUGGGCCCCUUGCUAUCCAGGAAUCACAGGCUUUCCCUUAAACCCAUGUCGGCUACAUGUUCUCUGAACAUACUGGGCGGUAAGCCUUUCGUAAGCGGAUCCGCUAGCAUCUUUUCUGUGCUUAUAUGUUCAAGACUUAUGAUGUGAUCUCGGAUUUUAUCCUUGACAACAUAAUAUUUUAUGUCAAUGUGCUUGGCGGCAUUGCUUGACUUAUUGUUGUGAGCAUACAACACUGCUGGCUCGUUGUCACAAUACAACUUUAGUGGUUUAUCGAUGCUGUCGACCACCUUUAAACUGGGUAUAAAUUUCUUAAGCCAAUUCACCUGUCCUGAUGCCUCAUAACAAGCAAUAAACUCAGCAUACAUUGUGGACGAUGCAGUGAUUAUUAUUUGUUUUGAGCUCUUCCAUGAUAUGGCUCCUUGCACGAGAGUGAAUAUAUACCCUGAGGUAGACUUUCUAUCAUCUUCCGCGUAAUCAGAAUCUGAAUACCCUACUAUUUGUAGGUCAUCAGAUCUUCUAUAGGUUAACAUAUGAGCCCCUUCGUGCCUUGCAAGUAUCUUAAGAAUUUCUUUACUAGAUUCCAGUGUUCCAUACCAGGAUUACUUUGAUAUCUACCAAGUAGCCCGGUCACAAAAGCCAGGUCCGGGCGUGUGCACACUUGAGCAUACUGUAAGCUUCCGACAGCUGAAGCGUAUGGAACGGCUUGCAUGCAAUCGCGCUCGAACUUGCUCUUGGGACAUUGAUGUUCCCCAUACUUGUCACCUUUUACAAUAGGAGCAGGUGAAGGUCUACACUUAUGCAUAUUGAAUUUCUUCAAUAUUUUCUCUAUAUAUGCCUCUUGGGACAAUCCCAAUACCCCUCGACUUCUAUCUCGGUGAAUCUUUAUGCCCAAGACAAAAGAAGCUUCACCUAAAUCUUUCAUAUCGAAAUUUGAGGACAAAAAUCUCUUGGUUUCCUGUAGUAGAGUGACACCACUACUGGCUAGUAGAAUGUCAUCUACAUACAGUACUAGGAAAAUGUAUUUCCCAUUCUUAAACUUUGCAUAUACGCAAUUGUCCUCAACAUUCUCUUUAAACCCAAACUUUCUGAUUGUCUUAUCAAACUUUAAAUACCACUGCCUGGAUGCUUGCUUUAAUCCAUAAAUGGAUUUCUUCAGGCGACAACCCAUUCUUUCUUUGCUUGUCACAACAAAACCUUUCGGUUGUGCCAUGUAUACUCUUUCUUCUAGAUCCCCAUUGAGGAAAGCUGUCUUCACAUCCAUUUGAUGCAAUUCUAGAUCAAAAUGUGCCACUAGGGCCAUUAUGAUUCUAAAAGAGUCCUUGCUCAAGACGGGAGAGAAUGUUUCAUUAUAAUCUAUCCCUUCUCGCUGAGUAAAACCCUUGGCUACCAGUCUUGCUUUGUACCUUUCUAUGUUCCCUUUGGAGUCACGUUUCACCUUGUAGACCCAUUUGGAGCCUACUGUUUUGGCUCCUUCAAGAAUUUCCUCUAGGUCCCAAACUUUAUUGGUACUCAUAGACUUUAAUUCAUCUUCCAUGGCUUCUUGCCACUUAGAUACUUCGGUGCUCCUCAUGGCUUCUUCAAAUGAAGUGGGUUCAUCCUCCAUCUGAACUUCUUUGCAUUCAUAGACUAUAUAGUCAUCUGGAAUAGGAGACUUUCUCGCUCUUUGAGGUCUACCAGAAGUUUCUGGUACUGGCAUUUCUUCUUGAGGUUGCUCUUGUUGGGGCUGCUGUUCUUCAACUAUGGGUUCAUUCGGCUCCUGAAGGACAAGUUCCGAAUUAGCCAUAGGCGAAAAAGCAGCAGGUGUUGUCACUACUAGUGUAGAUCCAACAACAACAGGCAGCGUAAAGUAGGGUUCUUGCACCAUGGGAAUGGGCACGAACACCCGCUUCUCUGCAAGGGUAAUUUCUCGCGCUGCCUUGCUCCCCCUGAUCAUCUGAUCUUCUAGAAAACUAGCGUGUCUCGGUUCCACAAACUUGGUAUGUCUACCAGGGCAGUAGAAACGAUAACCUUUUGACUUUUCUGGAUAGCCAAUAAAAUGACAACUUACUGUUUUGGGGUCUAGCUUUCCUAUGUUUGGGUUAAAUACUUUUGCUUCAGCAGGGCUCCCCCAGACACGCAAAUGGUUGACUGAGGGUUUCCUGCCGGUCCACAACUCAUACGGUGUUUUAAGUACUGACUUGCUUGGAACUCUGUUGAGAAUAUGAAUGGCGGUUUUUAAGGCCUCCAUCCACAAACUCAAUGCAGAGUGGAAUAGCUCAUCAUGCUGCGCACCAUAUCCAUUAGAGUACGGUGACGCCUUUCUGCUACUCCAUUCUGCUGUGGGUCCCCUGGCAUUGAAUACUGGGCUACUAUGCCAUUUUCCUGUAAGAACCUCGCAAAAGGUCCAGGAACUUGUCCAUAAGGGGUAUGUCGACCGUAGUACUCCCCCCCCCCCCACGGUCAGAUCUUACUACUUUGAUUUUUCUGUCUAGUUGGUUUUGAACCUCAGCCUUGAAUAUCUUAAAUUUGUCUAAAGCUUCUGAGCGUUCUUUGAUUGGAUAGAUAUAUCCAAAACGAGAGUAGUCAUCUGUGAAUGUGAUGAAGGAAUCAAAACCAUCCACAGAUGUCACUGGAAAAGGUCCACAGAUGUCUGUGUGGAUCAAUUCUAGUACUCCUGUGCUUCGCUUAGUGCCUUUCUUUAUGUUCUUUACUAACUUGCCUUUAAUGCAAUCGACGCAUUGCUCUAACUCUGAGAGUUCUAGUGGUGGGAGGAUUGAUUCUUUAACUAAGCGUUCUAUUCUCCCCCUCGAAAUGUGGCCUAAGCGACAGUGCCAUAAUUUCGAUGAGGAAUCAAUUCUCUUUCUUUUCUUGCUAGCAUCUGCGGGUAUUGCAUUCUCAGCAUUAUUACAUUCAGCAUUCACAUUCUCAGACAUAGAUAAUAAAUAAAGUUUGUCUUGUCGGAAGGCAAGACCCACACAUUUAUUAUUUAACUGUAGCUUACAAUCAUUCUUGCUGAAAUGGCAAUCAAAACCAUAGUCUGACAAACAUGAAACUAAAAUUAAAUUUCUAGCUAAAGAGGGGACAUAAAGAACAUCAUGCAACUCAAGUGUGAAGCCACUAGCUAAAUCUAGAGAUAAAUUUCCUAUAGCUUGAACUUCAGCAGCAACACCAGUGGCCACCUUAAUCUGUCUUUCUCAUCUUUGAAGGGUUCUCCCUCCACUGAAUCCCUGCAAAGAGUUUGCAACAUGAACAGUUGCACCUGAGUCAAUCCACCAUGUGGAUCUAGCAUAACUUAGAUAUAAGGAUUCAUCAACAAAAGUUAUAAUGUCCUCACCUUUCACUAGGCAAUGUUUCAUGAACUUAGGGUAUUCAUGCUUCCAAUGCCCUGUCUCAUUACACCAUCUACAGCGAUCCGGGUCCUCCUGCCUGUGCUGGUUGUCUUGCUUUGGCUGUGCUUUUGGCUGUGAAGAGCUUCCUCCCUUGUUCUCGGAGGUGGAGGCAUCUAGAGCUUUCUUGUUGUAGAAUGGUUUCUUGUUCUUUCCUUUCACAAAGUUCACAGAACCACCAUUUGCAUUCUUGAGCCUUUCUUCCUCUUGCACACACAUAGCAAUCACCUUCUCUAAAUCCCACUCCUCUGGCUGUGUGUUGUAGUUAACAACAAAUGUCUCAUACUCUUUAGGAAGUGAGUUUAGAGCUAGGUGAAUGAUGAAACCAUCAGCGAGGGGCAUCUUUAGCUUCUCUAACUUGGCUGCCAUGGUGCUCAUGCUCAGAAUGUGCUCUCUCACACUCCCCCCUGUGAACCUCAUGUUAGUGAGUUUCUGGAUCAGGGUGGAAGCAUGAGCUUUGGUGGAACCAGUAAACUGAUUCUUCACUUUCUCAAGGUAUUCUUUUGCUGUCUCACAUUCUGGGAUGGCACCUCUUAGGCCCUCUGUGAUGGUUUUCUUGAUGACAAUCUUGCAUUUGCGGUUUGACUUUUCCCACUUGUACUUCUCAAGAUCAUACUUUGCUAUGAUGGGAGCAAAGUCUCGCUUCCGAUUAGCAAAAGCUUCAUCGCUCUCAUUCUGAGCCCUUUCGGGCUCCUCUGGCUCAGUGGGCUUUGGCUCCUGAAGAGCCAAAUCUAUCUCAGCAAGUGCUAGAGCUGCAUCAAGUUCCUCGCGCCACAGAACAUAGUUCUGCCCCGUCAGCUUUGGGAUUGCACUGAUGAAGUGCAUCGCAUUCUGCGCUUGGUCUGAAAUUAAAUAUGAGAAAAUAGUGAGAACAUCAACAUUAAAUCUAGGAAAAAUAAUUGCAUAUCUUAAUUUAACGUUGGUCAAAAUCAAGAUAUACAAAAAUUAACUCUCUACAUAAAUUCUAAUCACUGUUGGGCAGAAUAGAAUAAAUACAUAAAAUUAGAACUUGGAAUUUGUAAUAUUGCUAUUAUUAACGUUGGUCAAAAAAUAACAAUAUCACAAAAAUACUAGGCUUUAAAACUCGUGUCUCAAAUUAAAUAUCCCGUUGGUUCAAUUUAAUAUGAGAACGAAAAAAUAACUUGCGCAGCGGAAAACAUUAAUUUAUUUACUAUUUUUAGAAGCAUAACUAGCUAACUGUGCUUUCUAAUUAAUAUACACGUUGGUGCAAAUUAAAUAGAAUUUAAAACUGAGCAAAACAAAUAUUUAAAUGCUUCUGAAAAUUAAAUAGAAUAUAAAAAAGGAGUUACAUUGCUUAAACGGGCCGUGGCCAACCAUUCGGCCCACGACCUCUUGCGGUCCAGCUCGGACGCUGGCCCAGCAGCGCACGGGUGCUUCUGAGUUUUUUUUAUUCUUGGCUGGUGGCACGCGGCCCAGCUAUCGGUUUUCGGCCCAGCCCAACGGCAUGCGUGCACGCGGGCGCUUGGCGGGCCGCAACCUGGGCCGGUGGCGCGCAUUCGGCCCAGCGCCGAAACCCGCCUGGGCUCAUUCUAGCCCAGCAGCCGCUGGUCGUCCGAUUUGCGGCCGUCGCGAUCGGACGGUAGAGUGCGCAGGUCGGAGGCAUAAAAGCCGCCGGCGCCAGGCUCUCUCUCCCAAACCCUAGUUUCUUUCUCCUUUGCUUCCUUCCUGACUCAGCAGCCGACGGCGCCGGCGCAGGAGCCAGACAGCCGCGGCAAGGGCCUCGCCGGCGCCGGUGAAGACGCCGUCGUUUCGGCCGCUCCCUUUCUCCUUUCUGUGCUUUCUUUUGCUUUUUCUCUCUCCAGUCCACUUGCGCCCAGCUGUAGAGAAGGACGCAGUGCUUUGCCGGCCGGAAAGAGUGGCGCCGCCGCGGUUCCUAUCGCCGGAGCGCGCGCUUCCCGUGGUGGGUGAGCGCGCCGCCGUCGAUAAGAGUCGCGAUGGUGCCCUGCGCUUGGCCCCCAUGCGGGAUUCCUCCCUGGUUUUGACCACCCCGGCCGCUAUGGUCGUGAGGCCGGGAUGGGCUAGCGCCCAGGUAGGGUGUUCCUUUAUUCUUUGUUGUUUGAUCUAUGCUUUUAGGGUUAGGAAAUCCCUUUUCUCGAUCUUUCGCGUUUGGAUCUGGGCGCUAGGUUUAGGGUUUGGGAAAAAAAAUAAAUCCUCUCCUUCUACUUGCUGGGCUUGUUGGGUAAAUCCCGAAAACCCCGAUCUAUUACUAGAUCGGCUGAUACCAUUGAUAGAUCUACAGGAUCUACUAGCAAUAGAAAGAACAGGGAUUCGGGAUACAUAAGUAACAUAGACAGUAACGUAAAUAUGCACACUAGAUCUAUUACAUAGGGAAUAGAAAUAGGUAGAUCUAGAGUAUAGGGUUUUGACCGUCGUUGGUGGCGGGUGCAGAUCCAGUGGGGCCCAUGGCGAGGGCGUUGACGCGGUGACGGAUUAGAUCCCGUCGUCCUUCGGGCCUCCAUCGGCACUGACCGACGACGGCGGGGUAGGAGUAGAAGGGUGACGGCGCGGUGGUGCUUCCCGACGCCACUGCACACUGUCGAUCGGCGACCUAGGGUUGUGAGUAGGGUUUGGCGGCGCACGACGAACUUCGUGUUGUGUGCCAGUAGCCCCCUACUCCUAUAUUUAUAGCGCAGCGCGUCGGGGGCCCACCAACCAUAGAUCGAUUGGGCGCCCCCGAUCAGGGCGCGAUCCAGGGGGAAAGGCCCCAGCCGUUGGGCUGGGCCUGAGAUCAAUCUAACACCAAAAAGUUUUUGGAUUUUGAGAUUAUAGCAUUUUUAUUUUUAUUUGACAAAUAUUGUUCAAUCAUAAAGUAACUAAGUUUAAAAGAUUUGUCUAGCGACUUACAGACAAACUGUACAAUUAGUUUUUGUUUUCAUCUAUAUUUAAUGCUCCAUGCAUGUGCCACCAGAUUCAAUGUAACGGAGAAUCUUGAAAAGUUUUUGGUUUUUAGGGUGAACUAAACAAGGCCUAAAUAACUAGUAGAUACAUAGUAUUUUAUUUCACAUGGAGGAAAGAGAACGUGAAAACUGAGGCCUUGUUUAGUUUCAAUUUUUUUUGCAAAAUAGAUACUGUGGCACAUUCGUUUGUAUUUGACAAAUAUUAUCCGAUCAUGAACUAAUUAGGAUCAAAAGAUUUGUCUCGCAAAUUACAAUUAGGGUUUUAUAAAUGCAUUCCCCCCAUCAACCUUUAUACUCACUUUGGCUUCCCCUUUUAUAGGACACUAUUACUUGGGGAAACCAGUUUACACUCCUAUCCUACGACACAGCGGCUAUGGUACAUUAAUGGAAUACGCUUAGCCACAAACAUAAUUUUAGGGUUACUUUGGGGCAUUCCACCUUGGCAACCGCCUUAAUUCAUGGGCCUUUUCUAGUGCCCACAGAGGCCCAUCUAUCACCUCAAGUUCUAGGCACCGUAGGGGCCUUCUCGUCAGCCUUCACUAGAAAAGCCCCGCCUUCCGCCGCGAUCUGGGCUCAUGCUACUCUGGACCUUCACUGCUACACUACCACCUUCGCCUUGUGCUCCAUCCAAGGAGGGUUCCGUGAUGCCUUUGCCCCUCAGAGCGGGACCUUCGCCAAUGUCGAGGGUGCGGGCGAAGGCUCCUGUCUUUGUUCCUGCCAAUCAAUGAUCAUGUUUCGUGCAUUGUUAGUCUUUUUUCGCUGGUGUAUCCCCUAGCUGCCAUAGCUCAUAGUUCCAUGUCCCAACAAUGUCUAAGAGCAAUUUCACUAGGAACCCUUAAAUUAGGGUUCCCACUUUUGAUUCGAGGGUUAUUCAACUUUUAAGUUUUUUUUGCAUCUAUUGUAACAACUCUCAAAUCCAUUUCAGUAGUCACGGAGACACAAACACAUGAGAUUCACUCGCCAUUCUCUUCCUAUGACCAUAACUACCUUCGCUCCAAUCAACUAAGCUAUGACUGACACGGGGUGGAGCAGCAGUAACCUCAUUAGGGAGGGGUUUGUGCCAAGGGCAGAGGAGCCGAUGAUGAGAGAGUAGCCACGUUGGGGACUGACCUUGUAAGAAUAGGGAAGGACCUCACUAGGGGAUGGGACAAGCACUAGGGAGAGGAGUCACGCUAGGGGAUCGAGGAUGGGGUAAUAAGGGUCUCGUUGGGACGGGGAAGGACCUCACUAGGGGACAAGACAGGAGCUAGGGAGAGGAGCCACAACGGGGAAGGAUCUCACACAUAGGCGGACAAACCUCACUGUGAGAGCCACGCUACAAGGAGGGAGACCCCUUAGGAAGGGGCACGCCGCUAUAGGGAGGGGAGUCACACCACUAAGGUGAGGGGCCUCAUCAGGGAGAGCCGCACCAAGGGAAGGACCUCCUAGGGACGGUGGAGCAUGCAAGCAACAUCGGAUGUGGAUAGAUGGACACUAUCCUCUUGCAUGCUAGGAGGAAAACGAUAACAAGUGUCAGUUGAGGGCCUAGAGUAGGGUCCCAAGAAAAUGAGGACUAGGAGGAAAAUUUGAGGGGCCUAUGAGUUUUUUUUUCUAGUCAUCAAAUUUGGUUUUGAGGGGUCAAGUAGGUGUCCUGCUAGAGAAGGCACCUCUAAUAAUAGUGAGAGUUAGAUAUCGACUCUUAGAUCCAUCUCAUUCAUAUGUUUUAUUUAUAUAUUCUCUCGUGUCAAGAGAGAGAGAUAAUUCAAGUCUCUCAUACAUUUUAGUACGUGCAAAGAGCUCGGCUUUUCUCAACUUCUCUCCACGCUAGUUCCACGCUAGUUCAAAGGUUUUUGGCCUCUCUCCCCUUUGUGUGGUAUCUGAUACUAGCUUAGAGCAAGUCCAAGAGAAGAGCUAUCCAUAUCAUGUAUUCUAUAUUUGGCUAUUUUGGGAGAGAAAAGAGAGUCCAACAGCUAUUGUAUUUGGUUUGCUAAAAUAGCAAGUCAUCUAUCCCGGAGUUCUCGUAUGGUAAAUAUAGCUUGCAUGUCCUGCUAGCCAUAUGAUUUGCCGUAUAGAAAGACCGUUGGAGAUUUUUAUUUUUUUACAUGAUUUUCUAUUUUAGAGGUUGGCUAAAUUUUGAAUUUAGCCAUCUAUUUUUAUCAACUCUCUUAGAGUUGCUCUUAGAGUUGUCCAAUAGAGAUGCCCUUAGCUAGCUCCCAAUUUAGAAUAUACCUAGACUAGAUCGAUAUCAGGCUUGAGAACGCAUAAUAGUUAGAUAUUUAUACCUAGUAGAUCGUUGGGUUUUAAACAAUACCAUACCUUUUUUUUGAGGGGAAAACGAUACCAUACGUGAAAUGGCUCACAUGAAUAUUAGGCCCGAAAACGGUUAUUGGCUAAACAGAAUUGGGCCUUAAAUGGGCGAUUAAAACAGCAAUGAUGCCUCCGUAGACUAGGAAUCGCAUAGACAAAAAGCUGUGACAUGCAUAUGCCUCGGGUGGGCUAUAAACAGGCCUGCGAUGCAGGCCUAUACACAGCCCAAUUUUUUUUGUGAACAAUACACAGCCCAAUUUGUGUACGUACAAGUGCCGGUUGCUUUUUCAGUUUCUUGCCCCAUGGGAAGCAUUCCCCAAUCGAAUCAUCACGUACGUACUUGACUCUGAUCCAUCAUAACACUUGGUGUCCACUAUGCACGCUCGUAGGCAUUGUUUACUUCCACCCAAAAUCUAAAAUUUUUUCAAGAUUUCGCGUCACAUCGAAUCUUUAGACGUAUGCAUGGAGUAUUAAAUAUAAACGAAAUUAAAAACUAAUUGCACAGUUUGAUCGAAAUUUACGAGACGAAUCAUUUGAGCCUAGUUAGUCCAUAAUUAAACAAUAAUUAUCAUAAACAAACAAAAGUGCUACAGUGUACCGAAAAAAUUUCGGCAAGGAACUAAACAAGGCCGUAGUAUGCUGUUAUAUGAUGGAAUCUAAAGAGCCCCAUUUUCUCUUUUAUCUUACCCUCCAGAUCGAGGCCACAAAAUCCUAGGUACAGAACAUCGUCUGUCAGAUGCAUCUGGUUGCAGCAAAGAUCCACACACAUUACAUAGAAUACGUGCACAGCACCAAAUGCAUGCAACGGCAACAUAUGCAUGCAGCACAAUUAGUUGUACAGUUUCCAUGAUUUACAAGCAAGUCCGGAUUCUUUUACUUCAGUAAACCAUCCUCAUAUUGCAAUGAUGGCAUGAUGCAUAUAUAGAGCGGGAGUGGUUAAGGUCGAUGAAUAAUGAAUCACUGAUGAAGCAGGGCAGACAAGGACACGGCAGCGGCGGCAGAGGCACACUGAGCCCACACAGAUGAAAUGAGCAAAUAUAUAGUACGUCGCGUGUAUAUGUUACUAUAUCUUAUUACUUGAACACAUCACUCUCAUGACUCAUGGAUGGAAAACAUCAUGCAUACAGUACAAUAUAUAAUGGACACAAAAGCUAGUAGUAUUCAUUAUUCAGGAAACCUGUGUGCUAAAGCAACAAGGUUAAAGGCAAGCAAACCCCCAAGGACGACGUUGAGUGCUGCUUUGCUAGCCUGCUACACACACACACACGUACGAUCGAGGUACACGACGACAGCCACAGCGACGACAGAGUUGGUGUAAACUCAAGGUAGUAAACAGUAAAUACUAAUUAAACGGAGUGAUCACUAACAGGUACGGUGCAUGCAUGAUCUACUCCUUAAUUUAUGUAUCUAUCUCAUUGCAUGCAUCAUCCAUGGAGGGAGUCAUGGACGACAUCUGGUAAAACAACGACGACUGCAUGCUGAUCGCCAUCCAACGAGCAUGCCUCAUGCAUGUCCUUAUGAUCGAUCAUCAGUUGAUCCUGCACGUACAUAACAUGAAAGAUAUCAAAUCAUGGUUAUCACACUCGAUCAUUAGCAGAAAAUCACUCAUAAUCACUGUGCAUUCAUGCAUGCAUGGACGACAUAUUUAAUCAAUUGGACAGGGUGAAAAACUCAGCCUAGGAGGCGUCGUACUUGGAGCAGUCGACGUUGGGACUAAUGGGCACGCCGACGGAGACGCCGCACUUGGAGGGGAUGCUGGCGGCGUUACCCAUGCUGACGCCGCCGCCGCCGCCGAGCCUGCUCGUCAUGCUCUUGAGGCAGGCGCAG
rnacentral:lncRNA from 1 species